rnacentral:lncRNA from 1 species
UGCUAGAAUUCUGGAGAAUUUUAUCUUUGAAAAUCUUUAAAAUAACACAUGAUGAGUUUCUGUAUGAUGAGAGUUUAAAUUCCUACCACAGCUAUAUAUAUACAUGCUUGCUAGACUUUGAGCCACACAUUUACUUUUUACUGCUUAUGAGCAUUGAGUGUGGUCAAGCUGUGUAGACCCUUAGGAGCUUGUCAUGUGGUUAAAUCAAGAUUCACUUGCACGUUUGUUGAUAUUUGGGAACGCAAUAAGGAAUUGAUCCGCAAGCGCACGGAUAUCGGUGAGCACUUCACCCAGGAGGUUAUCCAGAGUAUCGUAUUUAUUUUUUUACCACUAGGAGAAAGAGUGCAUCUGACUAACCUGGUCUAUUACUACUAACCCUUUAGGCAACAAAGAAUGUUUCUCGAUGUGAGUGAUAAAUAGAGAAGACUACAACUGUAAUCUCUUUCUAACCUUGGUAAGGAUGAUCUACUGUUCUAUUGGGGAGGCUAACGGAAUCUAGACACCACAAAGGAUGUUCAACCCGCACCUAUAAACCCUAUCCUUCCUGCUAACGAGAUAUGGUCUGCAAAGGUAACUCGAAAAUGUCACGUUCCUCGCUACUACCACGGUCUAGCUAGUCAAGAAAUAUCUAUGAGUACCCUAGCCUAAACACCACGUUUACACUAGCAAUGAUUACUCUAAACUCUACGCGAAGAGAUUAAAGUAAACUCAUAAACCAAAAGAAUAAUAAAACAAGAACUUACUAGAAUUUAGAAGUCGAAAUACUGAAGAAUCCUAGGAGCAAGCCUCGGGUUAGGAGAACUUGAUCCCGCAGGUACAAGCUCGGAGUAGACACCGACAGGCCGGGCUUCCUCCGAUCUACAACUCCACUCUAUCUCUCUCAAUCUAGUAGAAACUAGAAGAUCUAUUUCUACUCACAUUGGAUGCUAAGCCUAAAAAGAAAUUUUAUUUAGAGAAGAGGUUUUCCUUCGAGGGCUCCCCUCAACUCUAUGAUAAACUUGUCUCCUCCAGGGGCCAGGGGGUCUGGUUUUAUAGUGCCCUCAAGUGAACGUGAGCCGUUGGAUCAAACCGACAUUGAUUGGACGGUUAUCCUUGAUCCUUUAGGUCGGUGGAACGUCGUGUGCGAAAAGAGUCCUGAUUGGAGUACAGAGGGGGGCGGGCGCCCAGGUUCUCAGGGCGGGCGCCCUGGGCCUGGCCCCUUUCGGCCUCUGCUUCGUUCUCGUGGCUUCUGGAGUCUUGUAGAUGGUAGAAAAUUGCGUGGUGCGUUGAUAUCUCUAUGUAAUCCCGACAUGUGGGCCUUUCUUCCUUAUUUCCUGAUAACCCCCUGCAGAAACAGAUAAACAACAAAACUCGUGGAAUUCUGUCAGAUCAAACCCUAAUUCUAGGUGUUGUUUGUAUAUUGGUCCUCUCUAUUGUUUAUUUGAUAAUUAAAAUUGAUACUUAAGAACCGUCAACAAAUACCCCCAUACUUAGGCUUUUACUCGUCCUCGAGAAAAGGAUGGUUAAGAACAUUAUCUGGGGUAAAACAUUUUUAAAAUAUUCUCUUCAUAACUGCAGGGUGUUUAAAAUCUACAGGGAAGUAUAUGGUUAAGAGUAGAGAUCCUUUCUUCUCAAUCCUGUCACUUGGAGUUUUUGUAUAUUUUUGAAAGAAAGUUAGCAUACCUUUUAUCCUCAUAGGUCUUCCCAGAUCACUCAUUAUCUUUUAUAUAUCUCACUGAGGCUGUUUUAAUUUGCAAAAAAUCUCAAGCAUACUUACUUUGCAUUUAUUGCCUGAUCAAAACGGGAUCCGAGGAGGGGAAUGUCAUACUCUUAGAUCAAAGACUUUGGAAAUUAAAAUCUUUGUCAACUCUUGCUGGCAUAUUGCUUAUUAGAGGGACCAUGGGCUAUCAUUUUCUCUUUUUUUUAAGUGGAUACCGAGGUACCCCUAAUUCUACUGCCGGACACUUGUCCAUUUUUUUUCUGCGAGGUUGUCGAGCACUUGCUCCUUUUUAUUUCCUCGAAAUAUCUUUAUUUUUGCAUAGCACAUGCCUCUAAUGCAAUAAUACUUCGGAAGAGUGAAUCUUUCUGAAUAAAUGUCUUGAUCUUAGGGGCAUGAUAAAUCUCUCAACAAGGGUCUAACUCAUUUUGAACAAACUCAAUACAGAGUAGAUAGCCUUUAUAAUCAUAAUUAAUAUUUUCAGUUUUAUCAGGCAUAAAACACUGAGGAUGGUAGCUAUUUGAAGAUUUUGAAAUAAAUUCUCCAAGCAACAAUGAUAUCAAGAAUAAGAAACUCAUACUCUACCAUCUCACAUUCCAUAUUGACUUAAGUAACACAGGGUUUUAAAAUGAUUUUAUAAUAGUUGCAAGUUUUCAGGAAAUAUCACAGAGUGAGAUUAAUUCAUGAUUAUAAACAUUUUAAUCUUUAUCAUGUUGGAAACAAUAUUCUGCAUAAUCCAAGAUAUGUGUAUGUGUAAAGUAAAGUGUGUAGAGUAUGUACCUGAAUUGUGGAGUGGUGUAGUCGAAGUGUGUUUGGCAUCUCAAGGGAUCUCCCCCAUACUUGUUUUCUGCUUUCUUGCACAAGAAUAAAGUAGAGACACACAAGACAUAAUAAUAAUACUCUUUAUUAAUCUUGAGGCAUUUAUUACAAAUGACUGGUAGCAAACUGACGAUAACAGUAGCAAACUGACAAUAAUAGUAAACCUAAACCGAAUUUAAAGAUAAAUGACUAAGAUGCAUUGCCUCAAGGUCUAACUAGAUAACUUAGCGGCGCUCUAAUUCCUUAAUCUUCUUAUUGGCACUGGCAAGAUCCUGCCUAAGGCCUAGUAUAACGGUGUUGUGGUUAGAGAGCUGCCUAGUGAGGGAAUUAAUCGAGGAUUGGAGGUCCAUGAUAACUCUGUCUAGCCUGCGAACGUCCUCAUCAAUAUCCAUUAUAGUCUUGCAACGCUUGGGAGGUGUCUCAAAAGCAUUGAGAGCGUGCUUUGGGGUUGCUUUUGGAGGGAUGAAAUAGACUUUGGCUGCUCUAAUCCCUUCGAAGUAAGGCCUCUCCUCCUUUGUAGUGUAACGAAUGCUGCUGAUCUCACCGCUCCGGUUGGUCUUGACUCCAACGACCCUCUCAUUGGGUCUAGGUGGAAGGAUCCUCGUGCCGGUUGGCACCUUGAUGGUGGUCUUCGUCUUGGAUGAUGAUCCCUUAAGGAGUAGGGGUUGUGGCGGUGCGGUGAGAACUGGUUGAGCAUGAUAAGAUUGGGCGGAGCUGCGUUGGCGUAAUGGCAUGGCUUCUAGCUGUCGCUCUGUGUUGGCCGGGACAAGAGCACGGGCAUCGGGGUCUUCCGCAGGCUCCAUGUUGAGGUUGAAGGGGACGACUUCCCAAUCAUCGUGGAACUUCUCGGCCAUUGGAGCAUCGAGCAACUAAACAAGUUCUAAUUGAAGAAGAAGAGAAGGCUUGGUGGUUUGGUGUUUUGAAAACUGAUGUCAGGGGUCUGUUUAUAUAGGGGUCAAAAAGUGCCUCUAGGGGUUGUUCUGGUUGCUCCCGUCGAUGGGCAUGCGAAACUUUCCAUCUGAGGGAUUAUUCGGAUUACCAUAAGUGCAUUUUCCAUAACAGAGAAGAUCAGAACCGAGGGGGAACAGGAGCUGGGCGCCCGCCCACCUAAUCUGGGCGCCCGCCCUCUCUCUGUCUCCUCUGUGGGCCCGCUUCCUCAAGCGUGUUUCUAGACGCAGACUUAAUUAGGAAAAUAUAUAUAUGACCCAAAAACGUCAGACUAAAAAGGUCGGGCUCUAAUUCUCCAUAGGAAGGAAAAAAUGGAUUACGUCUAUUUCUUCUAAUUCUUUAUUAGGCUCUAAAAACAAUUUAAGACGUUGACCAUUUACCUUGAAUAACGUACCUUCGUCAUUUUGAAGUGUGAUAGCUCUGUGGGAUGAUGAAUUAAUUACCUUGAAUGGUCCUUCCCAUUUGCUCUGGAGUUUUCCAUGCCCGAAAAGCUUCACCCUGGAAUUAAAAAGUAAUACCUUAUCUUCGGGUGCGAACUCCUUCUUCUUGAUUCUCUUGUCAUGCCACCUUUUUACUUUCUUUGUAGAUCUUCGAAUUGUGAUAUGAUUUCUCUCGCCAUUCUUCCAAUUCUGAUAGUUGCAUUCUUCUAUGAUCUCCAGCAACAUCUAGGUCCAUAUUCCAUCUCUUUAUGGCCCAGUGUGCUUUGAACUCUAGUUCAACAGGUAGGUGGCAAGUCUUCCCGUACACCAAUUGGUAUGGAGACAUUCCAAUUGGGGUCUUGUAUGCUGUCCGGUAUGCCCAGAGUCCAUCGGGUAACUUGUCUUUCCACGCUGUUCCCAUUUCAUUUACUGUCUUCUGAAGAAUAUUCUUGAUUUGCUUGUUGGAAGUCUCUGCUUGGCCAUGUUGGGUAUUCUUAACAUCAUUACCAAAAGUAUACUAAGUUCUAAAUCUAGCAACGGUGCCAAAAAUGCCAAACCUAUCCCUCACACCACUUAAGCCAAGUUGUCAUCCCCAGCAUGACAUGAGAGACGUGGUAUUGAAAUAUGCAAUUGCUCUUCUAAAUAAAUAAUGAAUGGGAUCUGCAAGCGCACAGAUUAAUACCGAUGUAGCAUUUUAACCGGGAAGUAUUCCAGGUAUCGUUAUUUAUAUUUUUACCACUGGGAAGGGAUUAAUCAAUCAUCACUAUUGAUUACAGAAUAGAAUAUGAGAUUGAGCAUCUAUCAUUGCAUGUAUAAUUGAGAACAUUAUAUCUAACUCUUCAUACAGGGAUAAGUGUCACAUAAUAGAUAUAUGAAAUGAUAAUAGUGACAAGGAUAACUAAUCUGAUCUAGCCACAUAAUAAAUAUGAUAAGCACCUCAAUUAGAUACUCUAGAAAGUCAUUAGCAUGGUAUUAGAAUGAACUACAAGAAUAUUCCCUAAGUUAUUCUUAACUAUAUAGUCUAGCAUAUCAUAGUUAGUGCAAGCAUACUUAGCAAUCAUUGCGAGACAAGACUACGCCCAUGCAUAGUGAUAUUAGCAAGGAAAAUGAGAAACAUAGCAAUCACUCCCCUGUAAUAAUGUUGCUCUGCCAGCCCAAUACACGAGAGGGGGACUAUAUAAGAAUCAAUGAAGCUGUCACUAUCACGAACUACCCCACGAUCUGGCAUAUUGGGUACAAUCGCAGAUAAAUACGGUAUAAGCACCACGCCUACACAAUAUCUAUCAUUUACCCAUGGAUCCGAUGGAUAAACGCUAUACGAUCCUAAGCAUGUAUAUAGAUCGUAUCUAACUAAGCCAAGUAUAUAACUAUGAUAAACUAAGAACAAUAUAAUCUUGAAUAUAAGCAAAUAGAGCAAAGUCAUAAGCAAUAUAUUGAAGUAGAACAAAGUCAUAUUCAUAAUAUUGAAGAACAAAGAUAAUUAGAAAGCAAUUAGAAACACAAUUAGAGAAUUACCAAGAAUCCUCCUGACAGAUCCGGAAACCAAUCGAAGAUUGACUCCUUCUAGUUCUAAUCCUAUGUAGCUAUGCUAAUCUAGAUAUCUAAUUGAUGUGGUGGCUCUAAUCUUGAUCAGAGGCUUCUUCUCCCUUGAUGGAACAAUGAAUUAGGGUUGAGAGGCUCUCUCCUCCAGGGGCCAGGGGGUCUGGUUUUAUAGUCCCUUCAAGUGAAUAUGGGCCCUUGGAUCAAACCGACAUAGAUUGUAUGGUUUAGAUUCAUCCUUUAGGUCGGUGGAGACUUCCCGCAAAGCAGAGUCCUGAUUGGACUUAGGGGCAGGGCGGGCGCCCAGUUGGACAGGGCGGGCGCCCUGUCUCUGGCCCCGAUUCGCCUCCGCUUCGGUCUCGUGGCUUCUGGAGUCUUCUAGAUGUAAGAUAAUUGCGCAGCACGUUAAUAUCUUUACGUAAUCCUGACAUAUGGGCCUUUCUUCCAUAUUUCCUGAUAACCCCCUGCAGAAAUAGACAAACACCAAAACUCGUGGAAUUCUGUCAGAUAAAACCCUAAGUCUAGAUCUUUAUUUCAUUUGGAUCCUUUUCUUUAUUUAUUUGAUAAUUAAAUUUGAUACUUAAGGACCGUCAACAAACUCCCCCAAGCUUACCUCUUGCUCGUCCGUGAGCAAGGAUAGACUCAGCUAUGGAUCAGAAGUUGCUGCAAUAUCUUUAAAAAUUUGACGGUACACAUGCUCUUAAAUAAGAUCUCAUCUCUGAGUUAGAGUAAACUGUCAAGACUUAAAACUUACUUACUUUACCUUCACUAUGGGACUUGUAACUGUCACUUCUGUCUUGAGUGGUUAAAAGAUAGAACAGUCUAGCCAAGUGCCAUGUCUCUUAUUCUUGAUCAGCUAUAGCUCUGGGAUUUUUGCAGAUUUUCAAAUAAAACUCAGAAUUCCUUGUAUGAUUCUCUCAGGUCUCUCUUUUGUGGUAUUUUUGGAUCCUUACCAAGGCAUUGAUGGUAUAUGCCUUCUCUCAAGAUAUGUGGUAUUUGUGGUAUGAGGCAUAGUAACAUUGCCUUCUCUCUCAUCCUACUCUAAUAAGGCUUUAAUAUCUUUAGCUCAUAGGUGGGAGAUAAAAUAUACAUACUUACAAGACAUGUAUUGCAUAGUCAAACCAUGGAUCCAAAGUAACAAGUCAAUAAGUUUAAUCAAGAUGUGCAUGUGUGGCGAAUGAAUGGUAUAUGGUGAUGAUGGUGAUAACAAUGGUGAAAACAAUGGUGAAAACAAUGGUGGUGAAAGUCUAAUUCUACUUUGCUCUUCUGAGGGGAUACAUACCUUCCUUGCUUUUGAAACUUUAUGAGGAGAAUGAGAUGCUCUUCUUUUUCUUUUCUCUCAGGUGGGUAUCUUGCACCCCUAAUUCUACUGUCGGACACUUGUCCAUUUUUACCUCUCGUCUCACUUUUUCUUUUCUUUCGAGGUUCCGAGCACUUGCUCGUUUUUAUUUUCUCGUAUUAUUCUUCUCUCUCUCUUUUUUUUAGAGCACUCAUCUCUUGAGAUAAUAUAGCAAGUGGUAGUAACAAGAUAACUUGAGCAUUUAUUUCACAAGGAGAAAACAGAAAUAUUUUUGGUUAUUCUCUCCCGGAUUAGGAGUAGAAUAUUUUUAGGUGGUUCUGGAGAUGGAAAUGAGUGGAUGUAUGUGGAUGGUACUUCCAGAGUAGAAGUAGCAUAUAUGAGUGAACGUGCAAGUGAAAUCUUGAUUUAACCACAUGACAAGCUCCUAAGGGUCUACACAGCUUGACUAUACUCAAUGCUCAUAAGCAGUAAAUAGUAAAUGUGUGGCUCAAAGUUUAGCAAGCAUGUAUAUAUGGCUGUGGUAGGAAUUUAAGCUCUCAUCAUACAGGAACUCAUCAUGCAACAUUUUAAAGAUUUUCAAAGAUAAAUUCUCCAGAAUUCUAGCAUCUCUAGGAACAGAUAAACAGCAGCUCAACCUUCCUAUAUCGUAUCCGUUAACAACUUAGACUUCUGAUCAAGUUUUCAUCCCACAAGUUUAGGUCUAGGGCAAGCUUUAAAUUAUAACAGUUAUGUCUAAACUUGAGAGAGAACUUAAAAUAUGCAAAUUAGGCAGAGCAACUAUUCAUCAUAUCCAUGCUUAAGUUUUAUUAGAUACAGAUUAGCAUAGCCACUUUAUUUAUUUAUUUAACACACUAAGCAAAAGACAUAUAUAAGCAUAAAAUCUUUAUUUGGUUUUCCCAUAGUUUAUGUGUAUUAAUAUUCUAAAAUAAUAUAAGUAUAAAGAUAGAUAAAAAUACUUAUCGGAAUAAAUGGGGGUGCUCUCCCCCAAGCUGAAUUUUGACGUAAUUUCUCUCGAUGUAGCUAGCAGGUGGCAGAGGUGUAGUUGAAAGUGAGCAGCAUUCUGACAGCGAUUAGAAUGUCCUCCGUCUGCUAGUCUUCUUGAAUUCUGUGGAGCACAAAUAGACAACAAAGCUUGUGGAACUGAUUAAGUGUUAGCAUAAAUAUAUAGCCUUCAUCAUCUUGAGACUCCUUAAUAAUUAUUAUUCCCUAUUUUUAUAUUUUUAUUUUAUAAAGCAGAAAAAUAUUUAUUUUAUUUUUAUGCCACCACAGUGAAUGUACGUAUGGGUUUUAUGCCACUCGUCUAUUCACAUGGGGCUUACUAUUUUUCACAUUUUUAUUUUCUUUUUAAGACAGUAUGAGCAUGUUUAACUAAGUAAACUAUUUAAAAUAACUGAAAGGGAAAGGGUAACUACCAAGUUUACCUCUUGGCAAGGCGUUCGGUGUUUUUAAGUCCUCCGAACGGGACUCUCCAAUUUCUUAAUCGUCCUGAGGUUCGUUGGGUGGCGUAGUCGGUACUUCCGGCAGCGCCUCCUCUUCUUGUAUAGUUAUCUUCAUUUUCCACACCUGACUCGGUGCUUCAAUCUCCUCUGGAUAAUUCUGUUUAAACUCUACGUCUUCUGACCUUACAACUUCUCCUUCAUAGUCUGCCCAUCCGUCCUUAAUGAUCUGCCUCCUCUGGUUGCGGUUGCGUCGUUUUCUUACCUGCUUAGAUUCUUCAAUGAUAUAGUUAGGGUCAGUAAAAUAACAGCGUACCUUCUCUGAGGGGAAGUGCAUAUGGACUUCUCCGGUUCCAAUGUAGAUAAUGGCUUUAACGGUGCUGAGGAACGGUCUUCCAAGGAUGAUGGGUGGAUCAUACUCGUCUUCUCCCAUGUCAACAACUUGAAAGUCUGUGUAGACAAAAUGAUCGUCUAUUUUGACUGGGACAUCAGAUACUAUUCCUUGAACUUCUCGAAAUGUCUGAUCUGCCAUCUGGAGCUAAAUGUAUGUUCAUCUUAGUGGCAUGGUCCCGAACAAAAGCCGAUAGGUGACUGCGGCCAUUAUGUUGACGCCCGAUCCGGUGUCACAAAUGUCUUAUCUUGAAGUGUUCCUUUUGGAGCAGUAAUGCUUGGCAUUCUUGGGUCGUCCUUCUUGGUCAGCACGGUGACUUAAGUUGGUGAUCUUGGCCUCCAUGGACUACAGUGACCAUCUGAGCUGACUCGGUCCACACUUGCUUGUUCCUGUUCCUCCUGUUGGUCCUCUUCCUUGAUUGACGUCUGGAUUGAUUUGGAAUUUGUGUAGUCUUGUUUUUGAAGAAAAAUGUUUCCUUCUUCCCUUUGACAUAGAAACUGAUCUUAGCAGCACUGGCGUAGAUGAUAGCUCCCGUGGUGUUCAAAAAUGGCCUCCCUAGGAUGAUAGGUGCUCUCUCAUCAUUUCCGGUCUCUACCACUACGAAGUCUGCUGGUGCAUACAAGGUACCAACUCGGACACAAAGGUUCCUCACUAUUCCUUUUGGAAAAGUUAUCGUCUGAUCUGCAAACUGCAAACACAUGGUUGUCUCUAAUAAAGGAUAUGUAAAGAAUUUCUCAUAGAGUACCCUGGGUAUAAUGUUGACACUGGAGCCAAAGUCGCAGAGUGCUUCUGGGAAGUCCACCAUGCCGAUGGAGAUCGGGAUGACGGGGCGUCCUGGAUCGCCUCUCUUGACCGGCAGACGGUCAGUAGAAAAUUCAUUGACGGGGUUACUCCAAUUACCUGCAUCAAACAUGUCUACAAGAUUUGCAGAUGCUAAUCCUUCCGGUUGUGAUGGUAUACCGGGGUUAGUAGUAGGAACAGCAGCAGCUAUCUGAUUUAACUGAGAUUCAAUCAUUUUAUUAAAGCUAAUUUGAUUCUUGAUGGCAGUAGAAAAAUUAUCCAUUCUAUUAUUUAUAUUUUCUAGCAUUUUAUCAUUAGAUGCCAAUUUCUUAGAUAGGUUAUCCAUUAGCUUUCCUUGAUUAGACACUAACUCUCUCAAAGGUGGAAAAUUAUUAUUAUUGUAAGAAUUGUUACCUUGAUAAUUACCUGAGUAGUUAGGCCUCUGUUGAUUCCAACCUUGAUUUUGUUGAGGACGGUUGUAGUAGUAGUAGUUGUUGUUGAUGUAGUUCACAUCCUCAAGUAUCUCAGGGCAGUGGUUGCCUGAAUGUCCAGUGUCUCCACACUCCUCACAAGUCAUGUGAGAGUCGUAGAUGUGCAUAACUUCUUUCUUGUCUCCAGCUUUAUCAUCGACUUUCUUCAUGAGCAGGUCUAGCUUUGCAGACAGCAUGUCUACCUCCUUCAGCUGAUGCAUACGUCCACCUCUCUUGCGUGUCUGGGUCCUCUCUUCAUUCCAUCUUUGAUUGGACGCCAUCUUCUCCACAAGAGCUGUGGCUUGUGGUAUAGUAAGUGAUAAGAAUGCUCCUCCAGCUGCAGCAUCCAUGGUCUCUCGGGCACUGUUGCUGAGCCCAUGAUAGAAUGUCUGCAUCAAUAGCCAACUCUCCAUUCCAUGAUGGGGACAUUCUAGGAUGUAGUCUUGAAAGCGCUCCCAUGCUUCUGGAACAGAUUCAUCAUUUUGUUGCUGAAAACUUGUAAUCUUCCCACGGAGAGCAUUGGUCUUGCCCAUGGGAAAGAACUUUGCCAGGAAGUUUGUUGAGCAGAGUGCCCACGUAGUAUUCUUCUCCUUUGUAGCGUAGAACCACUGCUUCGCUCUUCCUAACAGUGAGAAUGGGAAGAGGCGAAGUAGUAUAGCGUCUUUGGAAACUCCUGCUAUGGUGAAUGUGUUGCAAAUCUCCAGGAAGUGUUGUAAAUGAGCACUAGCAUCUUCGUGUGCCUUCCCACAGAACUGGUUGGAUUGCACCAUGUUGAUAAGUCCAGGCUUGAGCUCAAAGUUGCCAUCGAUCUCUGCAGCAGGUCCAGUGCGGAUGUUGUCCGUAGUGGGAGCUGAGAACUCGCGGAUCGAUUUGUUCGCCAUGGCUUCGAACUCUGAAGACAAGUUCCGGUGAUCUUCUUGAUUGGAUGAAGCUUCUUCGUGAAGUGUUGAUGAUUUCUUUAGCUUGGCCCUCGUCUUCUUGAAUAAUGCUUCAGGAUUGUCAACAAAAUUUCCUGGAAGAUGUCUUCUAUUCAUACAUUCCCCUGCAUAAGAUAAAAUAGAAAAAUAUCGGGGUAAAACUGUAUGAGAGAAUAGAUAAGCUCAAUCAUAUUAGUGAUGCGAAUGAUAACUCAAAAUCUUUUAUUCCAUUCCUGAUUGGUAAUCAACCUUCCCCGGCAACGGCGCCAAAAAUGCUUGUUGGGUAUUCUUAACAUCAUUACCAAAAGUAGACUAAGUUCUAAAUCUAGCAACGGUGCCAAAAAUGCCAAACCUAUCCCUCACACCACUUAAGCCAAGUUGUCAUCCCCAGCAUGACAUGAGAGACGCGGUAUUGAAAUAUGCAAUUGCUCUUCUAAAUAAAUAAUGAAUGGGAUCUGCAAGCGCACAGAUUAAUACGGAUGUAGCAUUUUAACCGGGAAGUAUUCCAGGUAUCGUUAUUUGUAUUUUUACCACUGGGAAGGGAUUAACAAUCAUCACUAUUGAUUACAGAAUAGAAUAUGAGAUUGAGCAUCUAUCAUUGCAUGUAUAAUUGAGAACAUUAUAUCUAACUCUUCAUACAGGGAUAAGUGUCACAUAAUAGAUAUAUGAAAUGAUAAUAGUGACAAGGAUAACUAAUCUGAUCUAGCCACAUAAUAAAUAUGAUAAGCACCUCAAUUAGAUACUCUAGAAAGUCAUUAGCAUGGUAUUAGAACGAACUACAAGAAUAUUCCCUAAGUUAUUCUUAACUAUAUAGUCUAGCAUAUCAUAGUUAGUGCAAGCAUACUUAGCAAUCAUUGCGAGACAAGACUACGCCCAUGCAUAGUGAUACUAGCAAGGAAUAUGAGAAACAUAGCAAUCACUCCCCUGUAAUAAUGUUGCUCUGCCAGCCCAAUACACGAGAGGGGGACUAUAUAAGAAUCAAUGAAGCUGUCACUAUCACGAACUACCCCACGAUCUGGCAUAUUGGGUACAAUCGCAGAUAAAUACGGUAUAAGCACCACGCCUACACAAUAUCUAUCAUUUACCCAUGGAUCCGAUGGAUAAACGCUAUACGAUCCUAAGCAUGUAUAUAGAUCGUAUCUAACUAAGCCAAGUAUAUAACUAUGAUAAACUAAGAACAAUAUAAUCUUGAAUAUAAGCAAAUAGAGCAAAGUCAUAAGCAAUAUAUUGAAGUAGAACAAAGUCAUAUUCAUAAUAUUGAAGAACAAAGAUAAUUAGAAAGCAAUUAGAAACACAAUUAGAGAAUUACCAAGAAUCCUCCUGACAGAUCCGGAAACCAAUCGAAGAUUGACUCCUUCUAGUUCUAAUCCUAUGUAGCUAUGCUAAUCUAGAUAUCUAAUUGAUGUGGUGGCUCUAAUCUUGAUCAGAGGCUUCUUCUCCCUUGAUGGAACAAUGAAUAAGGGUUGAGAGGCUCUCUCCUCCAGGGGCCAGGGGGUUUGGUUUUAUAGUCCCUUCAAGUGAAUAUGGGCCCUUGGAUCAAACCGACAUAGAUUGUAUGGUUUAGAUUCAUCCUUUAGGUCGGUGGAGACUUCCUGCAAAGCAGAGUCCUGAUUGGACUUAGGGGCAGGGCGGGCGCCCAGUUGGACAGGGCGGGCGCCCUGUCUCUGGCCCCGAUUCGCCUCCGCUUCGGUCUCGUGGCUUCUGGAGUCUUCUAGAUGUAAGAUAAUUGCGCAGCACGUUAAUAUCUUUACGUAAUCCUGACAUGUGGGCCUUUCGUCCAUAUUUCCUGAUAACCCCCUGCAGAAAUAGACAAACACCAAAACUCGUGGAAUUCUGUCAGAUAAAACCCUAAGUCUAGAUCUUUAUUUCAUUUGGAUCCUUUUCUUUAUUUAUUUGAUAAUUAAAUUUGAUACUUAAGGACCGUCAACAAACUCCCCCAAGCUUACCUCUUGCUCGUCCCUGAGCAAGGAUAGACUCAGCUAUGGAUCAGAAGUUGCUGCAAUAUCUUUAAAAAUUUGACGGUACACAUGCUCUUAAAUAAGAUCUCAUCUCUGAGUUAGAGUAAACUGUCAAGACUUAAAACUUACUUACUUUACCUUCACUAUGGGACUUGUAACUGUCACUUCUGUCUUGAGUGGUUAAAAGAUAGAACAGUCUAGCCAAGUGCCAUGUCUCUUAUUCUUGAUCAGCUAUAGCUCUGGGAUUUUUGCAGAUUUUCAAAUAAAACUCAGAAUUCCUUGUAUGAUUCUCUCAGGUCUCUCUUUUGUGGUAUUUUUGGAUCCUUACCAAGGCAUUGAUGGUAUAUGCCUUCUCUCAAGAUAUGUGGUAUUUGUGGUAUGAGGCAUAGUAACAUUGCCUUCUCUCUCAUCCUACUCUAAUAAGGCUUUAAUAUCUGGAGCUCAUAGGUGGGAGAUAAAAUAUACAUACUUACAAGACAUGUAUUGCAUAGUCAAACCAUGGAUCCAAAGUAACAAGUCAAUAAGUUUAAUCAAGAUGUGCAUGUGUGGCGAUGAAUGGUAUAUGGAGAUGAUGGUGAUAACAAUGGUGAAAACAAUGGUGAAAACAAUGGUGGUGAAAGUCUAAUUCUACUUUGCUCUUCUGAGGGGAUACAUACCUUCCUUGCUUUUGAAACUUUAUGAGGAGAAUGAGAUGCUCUUCUUUUUCUUUUCUCUCAGGUGGGUAUCUUGCACCCCUAAUUCUACUGUCGAACACUUGUCCAUUUUUACCUCUCGUCUCACUUUUUCUUUUCUUUCGAGGUUCCGAGCACUUGCUCCUUUUUAUUUCCUCGUAUUAUUGUUCUCUCUCUCUUUUUUUUAGAGCACUCAUCUCUUGAGAUAAUAUAGCAAGUGGUAGUAACAAGAUAACUUGAGCAUUUAUUUCACAUGGGGAAAACAGAAAUAUUUUUGGUUAUUCUCUCCCGGAUUAGGAGUAGAAUAUUUUUAGGUGGUUCUGGAGAUGGAAAUGUGUGGAUGUAUGUGGAUGGUACUUCCGGAGUAGAAGUAGCAUAUAUGAGUGAACGUGCAAGUGAAAUCUUGAUUUAACCACAUGACAAGCUCCUAAGGGUCUACACAGCUUGACCAUACUCAAUGCUCAUAAGCAGUAAAUAGUAACUGUGUGGCUCAAAGUCUAGCAAGCAUGUAUAUAUGGCUGUGGUAGGAAUUUAAGCUCUCAUCAUACAGGAACUCAUCAUGCAACAUUUUAAAGAUUUUCAAAGAUAAAUUCUCCAGAAUUCUAGCAUCUCUAGGAACAGAUAAACAGCAGCUCAACCUUCCUAUAUCGUAUCCGUUAACAACUUAGACUUCAGAUCAAGUUUUCAUCCCACAAGUUUAGGUCUAGGGCAAGCUUUAAAUUAUAACAGUUAUGUCUAAACUUGAGAGAGAACUUAAAAUGUGCAAAUUAGGCAGAGCAACUAUUCAUCAUAUCCAUGCUUAAGUUUUACUAGAUACAGAUUAGCAUAGCCACUUUAUUUAUUUAUUUAACACACUAAGCAAAAGACAUAUAUAAGCAUAAAAUCUUUAUUUGGUUUUCCCAUAGUUUAUGUGUAUUAAUAUUCUAAAAUAAUAUAAGUAUAAAGAUAGAUAAAAAUACUUAUCGGAAUAAAUGGGGGUGCUCUCCCCCAAGCUGAAUUUUGACGUAAUUUCUCUCGAUGUAGCUAGCAGGUGGCAGAGGUGUAGUUGAAAGUCAGCAGCAUUCUGACAGCGAUUAGAAUGUCCUCCGUCUGCUAGUCUUCUUGAAUUCUGUGGAGCUCAAAUAGACAACAAAGCUUGUGGAACUGAUUAAGUGUUAGCAUAAAUAUAUAGCCUUCAUCAUCUUGAGACUCCUUAAUAAUUAUUAUUCCCUGUUUUUAUAUUUUUAUUUUAUAAAGCAGAAAAAUAUUUAUUUUAUUUUUAUGCCACCACAGUGAAUGUACGUAUGGGUUUUAUGCCACUCGUCUAUUCACAUGGGGCUUACUAUUUUUCACAUUUUUAUUUUCUUUUUAAGACAGUAUGAGCAUGUUUAACUAAGUAAACUAUUUAAAAUAACUGAAAGGGAAAGGGUAACUACCAAGUUUACCUCUUGGCAAGGCGUUCGGUGUUUUUAAGUCCUCCGAACGGGACUCUCCAAUUUCUUAAUCGUCCUGAGGUUCGUUGGGUGGCGUAGUCGGUACUUCCGGCAGCGCCUCCUCUUCUUGUAUAGUUAUCUUCAUUUUCCACACCUGACUCGGUGCUUCAAUCUCCUCUGGAUAAUUCUGUUUAAACUCUACGUCUUCUGACCUUACAACUUCUCCUUCAUAGUCUGCCCAUCCGUCCUUAAUGAUCUGCCUCCUCUGGUUGCGGUUGCGUCGUUUUCUUACCUGCUUAGAUUCUUCAAUGAUAUAGUUAGGGUCAGUAAAAUAACAGCGUACCUUCUCUGAGGGGAAGUGCAUAUGGACUUCUCCGGUUCCAAUGUAGAUAAUGGCUUUAACGGUGCUGAGGAACGGUCUUCCAAGGAUGAUGGGUGGAUCAUACUCGUCUUCUCCCAUGUCAACAACUUGAAAGUCUGUGUAGACAAAAUGAUCGUCUAUUUUGACUGGGACAUCAGAUACUAUUCCUUGAACUUCUCGAAAUGUCUGAUCUGCCAUCUGGAGCUAAAUGUAUGUUCAUCUUAGUGGCAUGGUCCCGAACAAAAGCCGAUAGGUGACUGCGGCCAUUAUGUUGACGCCCGAUCCGGUGUCACAAAUUGUCUUGUAGAAGUUGUAUCCAUUUAUGGAGCAGUAAAUGCUUGGCAUUCCUGGGUCGUCCUUCUUGGUCAAGCACGGUGACUUAAGUUGGUGAUCUUGGCCUCCAUGGACUACAGUGACCAUCUGAGCUGACUCGGUCCACACUUGCUUGUUCCUGUUCCUCCUGUUGGUCCUCUUCCUUGAUUGACGUCUGGAUUGAUUUGGAAUUUGUGUAGUCUUGUUUUUGAAGAAAAAUGUUUCCUUCUUCCCUUUGACAUAGAAACUGAUCUUAGCAGCACUGGCGUAGAUGAUAGCUCCCGUGGUGUUCAAAAAUGGCCUCCCUAGGAUGAUAGGUGCUCUCUCAUCAUUUCCGGUCUCUACCACUACGAAGUCUGCUGGUGCAUACAAGGUACCAACUCGGACACAAAGGUUCCUCACUAUUCCUUUUGGAAAAGUUAUCGUCUGAUCUGCAAACUGCAAACACAUGGUUGUCUCUAAUAAAGGAUAUGUAAAGAAUUUCUCAUAGAGUACCCUGGGUAUAAUGUUGACACUGGAGCCAAAGUCGCAGAGUGCUUCUGCGAAGUCCACCAUGCCGAUGGAGAUCGGGAUGACGGGGCGUCCUGGAUCGCCUCUCUUGACCGGCAGACGGUCAGUAGAAAAUUCAUUGACGGGGUUACUCCAAUUACCUGCAUCAAACAUGUCUACAAGAUUUGCAGAUGCUAAUCCUUCCGGUUGUGAUGGUAUACCGGGGUUAGUAGUAGGAACAGCAGCAGCUAUCUGAUUUAACUGAGAUUCAAUCAUUUUAUUAAAGCUAAUUUGAUUCUUGAUGGCAGUAGAAAAAUUAUCCAUUCUAUUAUUUAUAUUUUCUAGCAUUUUAUCAUUAGAUGCCAAUUUCUUAGAUAGGUUAUCCAUUAGCUUUCCUUGAUUAGACACUAACUCUCUCAAAGGUGGAAAAUUAUUAUUAUUGUAAGAAUUGUUACCUUGAUAAUUACCUGAGUAGUUAGGCCUCUGUUGAUUCCAACCUUGAUUUUGUUGAGGACGGUUGUAGUAGUAGUAGUUGUUGUUGAUGUAGUUCACAUCCUCAAGUAUCUUAGGGCAGUGGUUGCCUGAAUGUCCAGUGUCUCCACACUCCUCACAAGUCAUGUGAGAGUCGUAGAUGUGCAUAACUUCUUUCUUGUCUCCAGCUUUAUCAUCGACUUUCUUCAUGAGCAGGUCUAGCUUUGCAGACAGCAUGUCUACCUCCUUCAGCUGAUGCAUACGUCCACCUCUCUUGCGUGUCUGGGUCCUCUCUUCAUUCCAUCUUUGAUUGGACGCCAUCUUCUCCACAAGAGCUGUGGCUUGUGGUAUAGUAAGUGAUAAGAAUGCUCCUCCAGCUGCAGCAUCCAUGGUCUCUCGGGCACUGUUGCUGAGCCCAUGAUAGAAUGUCUGCAUCAAUAGCCAACUCUCCAUUCCAUGAUGGGGACAUUCUAGGAUGUAGUCUUGAAAGCGCUCCCAUGCUUCUGGAACAGAUUCAUCAUUUUGUUGCUGAAAACUUGUAAUCUUCCCACGGAGAGCAUUGGUCUUGCCCAUGGGAAAGAACUUUGCCAGGAAGUUUGUUGAGCAGAGUGCCCACGUAGUAUUCUUCUCCUUUGUAGCGUAGAACCACUGCUUCGCUCUUCCUAACAGUGAGAAUGGGAAGAGGCGAAGUAGUAUAGCGUCUUUGGAAACUCCUGCUAUGGUGAAUGUGUUGCAAAUCUCCAGGAAGUGUUGUAAAUGAGCACUAGCAUCUUCGUGUGCCUUUCCACAGAACUGGUUGGAUUGCACCAUGUUGAUAAGUCCAGGCUUGAUCUCAAAGUUGCCAUCGAUCUCUGCAGCAGGUCCAGUGCGGAUGUUGUCCGUAGUGGGAGCUGAGAACUCGCGGAUCGAUUUGUUCGCCAUGGCUUCGAACUCUUAAGACAAGUUCCGGUGAUCUUCUUGAUUGGAUGAAGCUUCUUCGUGAAGUGUUGAUGAUUUCUUUAGCUUGGCCCUCGUCUUCUUGAAUAAUGCUUCAGGAUUGUCAACAAAAUUUCCUGGAAGAUGUCUUCUAUUCAUACAUUCCCCUGCAUAAGAUAAAAUAGAAAAAUAUCGGGGUAAAACUGUAUGAGAGAAUAGAUAAGCUCAAUCAUAUUAGUGAUGCGAAUGAUAACUCAAAAUCUUUUAUUCCAUUCCUGAUUGGUAAUCAACCUUCCCUGGCAACGGCGCCAAAAAUGCUUGUUGGGUAUUCUUAACAUCAUUACCAAAAGUAGACUAAGUUCUAAAUCUAGCAACGGUGCCAAAAAUGCCAAACCUAUCCCUCACACCACUUAAGCCAAGUUGUCAUCCCCAGCAUGACAUGAGAGACGCGGUAUUGAAAUAUGCAAUUGCUCUUCUAAAUAAAUAAUGAAUGGGAUCUGCAAGCGCACAGAUUAAUACGGAUGUAGCAUUUUAACCGGGAAGUAUUCCAGGUAUCGUUAUUUAUAUUUUUACCACUGGGAAGGGAUUAAUCAAUCAUCACUAUUGAUUACAGAAUAGAAUAUGAGAUUGAGCAUCUAUCAUUGCAUGUAUAAUUGAGAACAUUAUAUCUAACUCUUCAUACAGGGAUAAGUGUCACAUAAUAGAUAUAUGAAAUGAUAAUAGUGACAAGGAUAACUAAUCUGAUCUAGCCACAUAAUAAAUAUGAUAAGCACCUCAAUUAGAUACUCUAGAAAGUCGUUGGCAUGGUAUUAGAACGAACUACAAGAAUAUUCCCUAAGUUAUUCUUAACUAUAUAGUCUAGCAUAUCAUAGUUAGUGCAAGCAUACUUAGCAAUCAUUGCGAGACAAGACUACGCCCAUGCAUAGUGAUAUUAGCAAGGAAUAUGAGAAACAUAGCAAUCACUCCCCUGUAAUAAUGUUGCUCUGCCAGCCCAAUACACGAGAGGGGGACUAUAUAAGAAUCAAUGAAGCUGUCACUAUCACGAACUACCCCACGAUCUGGCAUAUUGGGUACAAUCGCAGAUAAAUACGGUAUAAGCACCACGCCUACACAAUAUCUAUCAUUUACCCAUGGAUCCGAUGGAUAAACGCUAUACGAUCCUAAGCAUGUAUAUAGAUCGUAUCUAACUAAGCCAAGUACAUAACUAUGAUAAACUAAGAACAAUAUAAUCUUGAAUAUAAGCAAAUAGAGCAAAGUCAUAAGCAAUAUAUUGAAGUAGAACAAAGUCAUAUUCAUAAUAUUGAAGAACAAAGAUAAUUAGAAAGCAAUUAGAAACACAAUUAGAGAAUUACCAAGAAUCCUCCUGACAAAUCCGGAAACCAAUCGAAGAUUGACUCCUUCUAGUUCUAAUCCUAUGUAGCUAUGCUAAUCUAGAUAUCUAAUUGAUGUGGUGGCUCUAAUCUUGAUCAGAGGCUUCUUCUCCCUUGAUGGAACAAUGAAUUAGGGUUGAGAGGCUCUCUCCUCCAGGGGCCAGGGGGUCUGGUUUUAUAGUCCCUUCAAGUGAAUAUGGGCCCUUGGAUCAAACCGACAUAGAUUGUGUGGUUUAGAUUCAUCCUUUAGGUCGGUGGAGACUUCCCGUAAAGCAGAGUCCUGAUUGGACUUAGGGGCAGGGCGGGCGCCCAGUUGGACAGGGCGGGCGCCCUGUCUCUGGCCCCGAUUCGCCUCCGCUUCGGUCUCGUGGCUUCUGGAGUCUUCUAGAUGUAAGAUAAUUGCGCAGCACGUUAAUAUCUUUACGUAAUCCUGACAUGUGGGCCUUUCUUCCAUAUUUCCUGAUAACCCCCUGCAGAAAUAGACAAACACCAAAACUCGUGGAAUUCUGUCAGAUAAAACCCUAAGUCUAGAUCUUUAUUUCAUUUGGAUCCUUUUCUUUAUUUAUUUGAUAAUUAAAUUUGAUACUUAAGGACCGUCAACAGGCCACUUGUCUGAGGAUGAUAGGGGGUAGCGACGUUGUGACGGAUUCCAUGUUUUGAUAGAUAUUGCUUAAAGCGUUUGUCGAUGAAAUGUGCUCCUCCAUCACUUAUCACUACUCUGGGGACUCCAAAUCUUGGAAAUAUAAUUUCUUCAAACAUCCUCUUUGAACUGAUGUUGUCGGCAUGCUUGCAAGGUAAUGCCUCUACCUACUUGGAGACGUAGUCAACUGCCACCAAAAUGUACUCACACUUCUUUGAUGGAGGAAAUGGACCCAUAUAGUCUAUUCCCCAGACAUCAAAGAGCUCAAUCUGAAGGUUGUUGGUGAGUGGCUAGCAUCUCUUGUGUUUAUUUUUCUGUGCCUUUGACAUGGCCCACAUUUUCUGAUAUAUUGCUUCGUGUCUUCAUACAUUGUAGGCCAGUAGAAUCCACACUGCCAGAUCUUUCAAUGUGUACGAAAUGCUCUAUAAUGACCUCCAUAUGGUGAUGAAUGACAUCUGUCGAUAAUCUUCCAUCCUUCCUCAGUGGUCACACAUCUCCUGAGUAAGCUAUCAGAGCAUACUCGGAAGAGGUAUGGCUCAUCCCAUAUAUGUGAACGACUUUCUUGAAUAAGCUUCUUCUUGUUUGCUCCUGGCGGUACAUACCCUGAAACCAUAAAAUUAACAAUAUCUGCAUACCAGGGGUCAGACCUGUUAAUCCCGUAGAGCAUGUCGUCCCGGAGUGAAUCAUUGAUGGGGGAUUCCUGUGGAAUCUUAAAAUACAUUCUAGACAAGUGAUCUGCAACAGAAUUUUCUACUCCCUUUUUAUCUUAUAUUUCUAAGUCAAAUUCAUGGAGUAAUAAGAUUCAUCUAAUCAGGCGAGGUUUAGCAUCUUUUUUAGUGAGCAAAUAUUUUAGUGCAGCAUGAUCAGUGUAAACAAUUAUUUUAGCUCCAACUAAAUAAGAUCUAAAUUUAUCAAUGGCAAAGACAACAGCCAGAAGCUCUUUUUCAGUGGUUGCAUAGUUAAGUUGAGCUCCUGUCAAAGUUUUACUGGCAUAAGCAAUUGCAUGAUGCUUCCUAUAUUUAGUUUGUCCCAAUACUGCCCCCACAACAUAAUCACUAGCAUCACACAUAAUUUCAAAAGGCAACGACCAAUCAGGGGGUUGAAUGAUUGGUGUAGAGAUGAGUGCUUUCUUUAAUAAAUUGAAAGAUGUUAGACAUGCAUCAUCAAAUUCGAAAGGAGCAUCCUUGGCUAGCAAAAGAGUAAGUGGUCUAGCAAUGAAUGAAAAAUCUUUUAUGAAUCUACGAUAAAAACCAGCAUGGCCAAGAAAGCUUCGAAUUCCUUUUAUAUUCACAGGUGGAGGUAGUUGUUCAAUUACUUCAAUUUUAGCUUUGUCUACAUGAAUACCUCUUUCAGACACUAGGUGUCCCAGCACUAUUCCUUCUCUAACCAUAAAAUGACAUUUUUCCCAAUUAAGGACUAAGUGCUUUUCUUCACAUCUUUGCAAAACCUUGUCUAAGUUUUCAAGACAACUAUCAAAAGUUUUUCCAUAAACAGAGAAAUCAUCCAUGAAAACUUCCAUAAUCUCUUCAAUCAUAUCAGAAAAUAUAGACAUCAUGCAUCUUUGAAAAGAAGCUGGUGCAUUACAUAACCCAAAAGACAUUCUACGGUAAGCAUAAGUUCCAUAUGGGCAAGUAAAAGUGGUUUUGCUUUGAUCAUCGGGAUGGAUCGGGAUUUGAUGAUACCCUAAAUAUCCAUCAAAGAAACAGAAGAACGAAUGGUUCGCUAAUCGCUCUAGCAUCUCAUCUAUGAAACGUAAAGGAAAGUGAUCCUUUCUCGUGGCUUUGUUUAGUUUUCUAUAGUCUAUGCACAUCCGCCAUCCUGUGACGGUGCGUUGCGGAAUUAGCUCGUUCUUUUCAUUCAUAAUAACAGCCAUGCCUCCCUUUUUAGGCAUAACUUGAACUGGGCUCACUCACUCACUAUGCGGCAUAGGAUAUAUAAUCCCUACAUGCAGCAACUUUAUAAGUUCCUUUUUAACUACCUCUCUCAUAGUGUUGUUAAGUCUUCUUUGGGGUUCUCGAGAAGGUGAAACAGAAGGAUCUGUUGGAAUACGAUGGGUACAAAUCAUAGGACUGAUUCCUGUAAGAUCUUGGAGUGAGUAGCCGAAAACUGAGUGAUGUUUCUCAAGAAUGGUAAUUAAUCGCAGAGUUUGCUCCUGAGUGAGUUUAUCGCUAAUGAUCACAGGAAACUCUCGAUUAUUGUUUAGGAAAGCAUAGAUAAGACCGGGUGGUAAAGUUUUAAGCUCUAUGGGGGGUCUAGGUGUUUCUGCAAACUCAUCUAAGGGUUCAGGUUCAGAAGGUUCGGCUUCUUCUUCUAUGAAGAAAGGAGUUUUGUCUUCUAAGUCUGAUUCUUCUAAUAGCUCUAGAGAUGCAGCCUUUACCUCCUCCAUAGGAUCAGGUAAAAGAUAUGACUCGGCCUUAUUAUUCAAAGAGUGUGAAAUUGUUAUUGGGAUUUUAAAAGCUUUUCCAAAAGAAAUGUGUAGCUUUCCAGUAUGACCUUCAUAAAGGAGUCUUCUAAAAGGUUGUCCUAUCAACAGGUCGAAGUCCCAUGUAUCAAAGAUAUAGAAGUCCAAAUGAACCAUGGAGCCUUCUACUGUAAGAGGUAGGACAUUAAUAAUUCCAAGACUGGGGACUAAUCGUCCCGAAGAUUCCUUUAUGACCUUUGUUGUGGGGGUUAAGACAAGAUUUUUAAAUAGUUUAAGUGCAAAAGUGUAGCACCCGGUUUUAAGAACAAAACCAGAUACACACCAUAUGUGAGCCCAGGAAGUCAAAUCUCACAUAUAGCCACAAAUAGGGGUAAUAUCAAUAGACAAUGCUUAUAUAUAACGAACUUAGUAUAAAAGAUAUAACCUUAGAUAGCAAACAGCGGAAAGACACUCCGUUCUUCAGGCGAAAGCUCCAAAUCCACAGGGACAACUGACUGGUUGAGCACAAGCCUAAACUCUUUUCCAAGCUUGCAAUCUGGUACCCAUCCGGGAUUUUUAUCCAAAUAAAAUGUAAAGGCAAGCAUAAGUACAUCUCGUACUCAGCAAGAAUAACAUAGGGUUCAUGAGGCUCAAAGGCUAGACAAUGGUUUAACUGCAUGUAGCUUUUAGUUGUCACAAUUUUAGCAUAUGAGUAGCAUCAAGUUGUCAAGUCCCAUAGUAAACUUAUGAUCAGGUAAAGUGAAUAAAGAAUAGCAUAAACAACAUUUUAACAAUAAUAACAUUUAAUGAAUUGCCAUUAGUGUUCAUUUAUUCUGUAUUGGUCUAAGGCCGCUCGUGACCGUGAGCACGGCUGAUAUAUCAGUUUUACACUCUGCAGAGGUUGUACACUUUCACUGUGAGUCGUGAUUUACCCUUUCGCCCGAGGUGAUCAGCCCCUUAGCCUACUCCCUAGGAAGACCGGCAGGGUUCACUAUGAAGCCUUUCAAAGGUUCGUCUAACAAGUUAGGGCCGCUAGGUUUUGUUAGUCAGUCCGUGACUCACCCGCAGGAAUCCACGGUCUGCUAUCCCCCACUUGCGCCACAAGGAUAACCACUAACAAGCUAGAAAAGGUCCUCAUACUGAGCUAAAGCCAGAGCCAUGUAGCCCUCACAGUUGUACUAUAUGUCCCGGAUGGUCAGAUACAGAUAAGUCCUUAUGGAGAGAAACUAGAGCACCAUAAGAUAGCCCAAUGCUCCAGCCCUCUUUUUCCAACGUUGCUAAAAAGUCAUCUUUUAAUGUUUAUUGCAUAAUCCUUUAGUCAAAUUACAAGAUCAUGGUUUAGUGGAGCACUAGCAUAAGCUACCCAAUGCAUAACCAUAGGUGACAAGGUAUGAGAUCAAUACUAGGAAAUCCUUAUCAAGGAGACACAUGCAAUAUGAAUUGUGUGAUUAAAGUUAUUAGGAAACAAGGAUGAUCCCAUGCUAUACUUGCCUUGAAACUCAGAUCUUCUUUUAGUUCCAAAUUUUCCACAAUCUGCUUCUUGAUCACCACGUAAAAGCUCACCGACUAAACUCAGUCAUCACAUCAACAACAAUCAUCCAGAGGCAAUCAUACAAAGCAAAACAAACCUAUAAUUAGAACAAUACACCAACAGUAGCCAAUAAAGGUAAAAAAUUUAUAAAACAAAUCUACAUCGCACUACGAUCACAUAGACGUGAAGAUCACAAAAAUCGGAGCUAUAACGAAGAAGUUAUGAUUUUCCUAAGAUUUCCUUUAAUAAAUUAAUUAAAUAGGAUCAUGAAAAUAAAAGGUUGUAAACUUGUAAAACAGUAGCACUAAUAUAUAGAUUACGCGAAAACGAAUCUAACACAACUUGAACGGAUCAAAACGGAGUUUAAACGAAGAAUAUAUGAAUUUUCUAAGAUUUUCUUUAGAAAAACAAUUAAUUAAUUUGGUUCAGGGAAUUAAAAAGUUUCAAACUAAGAAAACAGUGUUACUAACAUGUAGAUCUUUUGAAUACAAAACCAACGCAAUUUGAACGAGUCAAAACGGAAUUAAGAUGAAUAUUUUAUGAGCAAUAUAAAACCAGUGGCAAUUUGGUAAUUUGCUGAAAACGUAUUUUGAAUCUGAGUACUGAGUUUACGUCUUCAAAGUCGGAAAGCGUAUUUGUGAAAUUACGUUUUGGACUGCGGGUUAGAUCUUUAAAAACCAGGGGGGCUCUUUUGCAAAAAUCGCGGCCGAAGGGGUAUCCUUCGAUCUCGGCCGUUGGAUAUCAAUUCGAUGGUCAAGAUUAGAUCGCAGGGGGUUACUGAGUUGGCCGGCCGGAGUUGGACGGCCGCGGCGGCUCCAUGGCCGACCUUGGCCGGAGUUGGCCAAUCUGGCGACCCCGAGCGGUAGAACGCGAGCUAAACACAUGGGAUCGCUCAGGAGCUCGGUGCGAACUCACCUGGGGCAAAAACCACGACGAAGAGAGGCCAGCUAGGGCUCACGACGACGAACGGCGGACGGCGGCUCUGCAAAGACGUUCGGCGAAGGUUAGGCACCCGUUGGAAGCAAAAGAACGCGAACGAAACGACUCGGCGACUUCGCAAGAACGAGGAGAAGGUCGGCAAGUCGCUCACGGUGGCCAAGACGCGACACAGCGGCGAAUUGCUUUCGGCGUGGAUCGCGGCGGCGAGAAUCGGCGGAAACUGCACGGCGGCUGGUGCUCGGGUUGAGAUAGGGGUUGCGGGGCAGCGGGGCGGGUAUAUAAAGGGGAGAAGACGCGCGGGGAAAGGACUGCUCGCGCGAAUCGUGCGCGAUUGUUGCGGCUCGGGCUCGUGUCCUGCUCGGACACGAGGUAGGGGACGGCUCCGACAGCUGGGCCCCACCUGGCAGUGACACGAGGCGUGGGCCAGCUCUGUCAGCGACCGCAGCGGAGAGGAGGGCGCGCGGCUCGCUGGGCUGCACUGAGCGGGCCGGAAGCUGGCGUUGGGCCGCUGCGAGAAAGAAAGGGGGAAGGGGAAGGAAGACAGGCCGGGCCGAAGGAAAACAGGGGGGAGUGGGAUGUGGGCCUCCGGCCAAAACCAGUGGGUCUUCUCUUUUUAUUUUCUGUUUCUCUUUUCUUUUAAUAAAACAAACCUAUUUCAAAACAUUUUCAAAACCAAAUUUGAAUUUCUUUUCAAUCUUUCAGCCAAAACUACUCAUCACAAUAAAUCAAUGCAAAGGCAUGCUCAAACAAGUUGCUAGCUCCUUUGAUAAAUUUUAAUUUAAAGAAAAAUAUUAUUUUUCCUAUAUUUCAUGGGCACAAAAAUACACAAGUUAUCAAUUUAUCCUAUUUUGGAAAAUUGCAAAUUUUGGGGUGUUACAAUUCUACCCCCCUUAAAAUGAAUCUCGUCCUCGAGAUUCGGUUGGUGCUUUCUCAAACCACUGCGGGUAUGUUUUUCUUAGAUCCUCUUGUCUUUUACAAAUAGCCUCCUCUUCGGUGCACUGAUUCCACUGGACUUUGUACAUCCUAACAAUCCAACUCCUGGUCACCUUUUCUGUUGUUUCUAAAAUUCUCACCAGGUACUCUUGUAUGUGAAAUCUGAUUUAACAGUCAGUUCUUCUAACGACAUCUGCACUUAUGACACGCGCAAGUAUUUUUUUUAAGUUGAGACACAUGGUAGACAUCAUACACUCCUUCUAAACUUUCAAGUAGCUCUAUUUGGUAAGUCACUUUGUUUCCAUAUUUCUAACAUCUUGAAAGGCCCGACAUACCUUGGUACUAACUUUCCUUUGAUAUUAAACCUCCACACACCUCUCUUAGGUGGCACCUUCAAACACACGUAGUUUCGCACUUCAGAUCUAAUUAUCUUCUUAGAUGUCAAGAUAACUCUUAUGUCGAGUCUGUGCCAUUAUCUUUGAUCACUCUCACUUGCUGUUCUGCAUCACUUAGAACUUCUAGCCCAACACUUGUGUUCUCCUGUUUGAUUUCAAAUCAACAGGGUUCUACACUUACAUCCAUACCAGCUUUCAAAAGGCUCCCACUGAAGGCUCUUCUACUAACUGUUGUUCUAAGAAAACUUCGCAUACGAUGACCUCUUUGUACCAUACUGCAAUACACCAGCUCACAACAUAUCUCCUAAGUGAUCUUUUCAAUUCCUGUGGUUCCCAAAAAGAGUAUUAGUAGAGCUCAUUUGGCAGUACUAGUGACAUCACCCAGUUCAACACUCAACCCUUCAAAUUUCAGUGUCAUUUGAACUCCUCUAGCACACUCUUUAUGCUCUGAGCAUUCACAAAGGCUUUUUCUCCUUCAAGUGAUAGCAUUUUUUUUCCCCAGUCAUAACUCUUGAUUCACUCAAAUCCAUCAAUGAUGUGACCAGCUCAAAUCCAAUUUCCUAAAGAUGCCCUUUAGAUACUUACAUUCUACGCAGAUAUCACUCCUACAUUCAAGAGGAUAGUAUCUCCAUGAUCCACUAUGGGUACCUCCACAUUACAUGUCAGUUAAUCCAACCCACUUAGUUGACUUACGCAUAAGCCACUGCUUUUCUCGUAUAGAGCACAUCCAAAGUCUGGAUGGGAUAUAUAAGCACUCUUACAUCAAUCUUUAUGACACCUUUGAUAAACCACUUAUAGAAUUCUUGUUAUUCCAAAUCAAUCUCUUAGUCACUCUUAUGGCCAGAUCACAUUGGCUCCAGCAAACCUAUGAUAACCUCUUGCCAUAUCUAUAAUACUCUAAGUCUCAUUCACUUUCCUUUGGUGGUUUCCAACUCUUGUAUCUUUAACUUCCUUAAGUCCAUCCUUAAAGAUGACGUCUCCUAGAUGAGAACUUCCAUCAACUAGAACAUACUGGUCAUGCUCCAUUUAGUAAUGAAGUCUUUUGAGUCUCCGUUGAAUCAAUAGUAGAUGUAGCGUAUCCACUUCCUAAGCUGUCAAGUGACCAAUUUCACAAUCUUGAGUCAUGAUAGACGAUUAUCAUCAUGGGAUAUCUCCGGAGACAACUUCUCACUUCAUGGUGAAUUGGAAAGGGCAUUGACCUAUCAUAUCAAGGUACUACCCCCUUAAAAUGAGAUAGGUCGGGGGACAGUUUGGACUAGCUCUCACAUUCCGUCUUAGAUGCUACACAUCACAUAGUCUUUUAAAUUCACUGUACCAAGUCUCCUGAUCUGGAGUUGGUUUCAUCACUACGUUCCAACUAUUGGUACCUCUAUCAGAGUUGAAUUGCUUUGCUCUCACAUCCCAUGUAUAACUUUGUAGACUUUGGUGUCACCUGAUUCUCAUAAGCACCACUUAAGCUAUGAGUACCAGCGAUGACCUAUAUCUCCAUCCAUAUUAGCACACUUCAAUGGAACUAUUUCUUGCAUCAAAAACCAAAUUUACCAAACACUUGAGGUCCUUAUCGAUGAUCCAACAUUAACCAAUACUUCUCCUCGUAAAUCCUUUGAUAAGACUACCCCCCUUAAAAAAGGUAACUAGGGGGUUUAAAUGGGUAGUCUAGUCUACCUCUCAAGUGUGUUUCUUAUAAUAAGAUCUUCGAAUACCGAAGAGAAACUCAUGUGCACUGAUAUGUACAAGAACUCUGAAAUUCCUCAUAACACGAGAAACACCAACGCAGUAAAAUAGACAUAACUCCUUUCCUGUUAAUCCAAUAAGGUCUUAGCUUAUACCGUUAGAUACCUUAUCAAAAUCCCUACCACUUUCAUAUAGAACGCUUUCCUUAGUUUCUGUCUUUAAACCUAGGUAAAACAGCAAUACAUGAUAUCCAUCUCGACAACGUCUCAGCACCGAUGCAACAACUUGAAGAACUCAUAUCUCGAGUUACUUAGAUCAUAUGGGGACGAGUCUUACAUGGUUGAAAAGCUUAUGAAGUCCUCCACAACCUGAUGUUAAGUUGGCUGAAAAUAGGAACUAACUAGAACUGUCCAGAUUUUGAACUGUGCAGCAACAGCAACUUGUAGAGGUCAUAACCCAGGUUCCAUUUAUCCGAUAAAGUUGCAGCUUGCAUCGUUGGAAAGCUUAUCAAAAGACCUAAAACCUUAUUGUAGAACCUUUUCCCAAAUUCCAGAGUUACAUUUGUCCAAAACAGUCGGCAACUGAGACUGGUCCUGAUUCCUGACAGCUCAACUGUACCAUCUUGUGAUUUUCAUGAUUCCCAAACCACAACAGCUAUGGGAGUGAUUCUUGCUGUCAGAGAAGGAUCUUGAAGUCUACUACUACCCAGAAUUUUCACAUGAUUUUAUGGUCCUCCGAGAAUAGGGAUUUGAACUGAAGAAGAUAAGUUGCUCCCAAAAGACAAGGACAAAGAAACAAGAGAGACUAGAACCCAACUAUUUAUUUCAUUAAUCCUUAUAUCUUAGACCUAUAAACUAAAUGAAAGUGUGGAGAAACCCACAAGAUCAUUGCACUCAUUACAAAAAUCCAACUCAAACAUAAGCACUUAAGACAAACCAACCAAACAUUGAAGGUUCACGAAGCACACACAUAUACUAGACUCGACUUUUGCCACUAACGUUUAUUACAAAGGGGGACUUCCUACUUCUUAAACGCGGUGUGACUGCAGCGGCAUCCAGGGUAGCAUCUCUUGCGUGGAGUUAAGCGAGGUAUGUCCUCCACCUCAUUGAUCGUAGGUAAUCCACCACGACUUCUCCACUAAUCAAUCUCAUCAAGGGCUUCCUCAUAGUGUUGCCUUACUUCUGCCAAUUCCAGUUGACUGUCUUCCAACUUUUGAUGCAUGACUUGGAUAGUCACAGCCAUCUCCUUUAGUUGUUCAUUCUUCUCCAAGUAGGGGUCAGCCAUCACACAUUGCAAAGUGCCUGGUGGACGACGAGGAAGAUACUUUUGUUUGUCAUUCUUCCUCUCUUCGUAGUGCUUUCCAUGAUAUGCCAGAAGAGCUUGAUGGGCAGCAUCAGAUAUGCUAGCAUGCUUACUGAAACGGUCACUGAGAGACGAAUGAAUGGAUUCCACCACGCGUGAACCAGUAAACUCAUUCCAUCUUGUGAUGUGUGCUUCUGUGCUCUAGUGGCUCUCAUACUUAGGAUGAGUCCACUUAGUGCACUUAUAUUCCACCUUGGCUUGCUGUUCAGGAUAGUGGUCUUGUAGUAUACGCAAAAGCCGAGGGUGAAAGAAAUCUUCCCCACUAAAGGAUGUGGUAAAGUACUCCUUUCACCAACAAAUAUGUCUUGAUGGGACAGGGCAAGCUUCUUCAUACUCUGGUUCUGUUAAGCCAUAGAUACCCCGAGUUAAGCAUGGUCUUCCAGAGUUGUUGCGAGCAAUCUUUUCGUUACGAACCAUCUAUGGAAUUAGAACGAGAGGAAUUUAGAUUAGAAGCAAUAAUUUUACAACAGAAUUAGAUGGUAGGAGCAUAAGAAUUUUAGCAAAUAGCAAGGGUGAGAUAGUAAGCAUGAAUGUAGUGAAGCAAAGAUGACUAAAAUGACCAUUACUAACUAGGCUUGCGUCCUACUGUCAGCAUUGCUCUGAUACCACUUUGUAGCACCCGGUUUUAAGAACAAAACCAGAUACACACCAUAUGUGAGCCCAGGAAGUCAAAUCUCACAUAUAGCCACAAAUAGGGGUAAUAUCAAUAGACAAUGCUUAUAUAUAACGAACUUAGUAUAAAAGAUAUAACCUUAGAUAGCAAACAGCGGAAAGACACUCCGUUCUUCAGGCGAAAGCUCCAAAUCCACAGGGACAACUGACUGGUUGAGCACAAGCCUAAACUCUUUUCCAAGCUUGCAAUCUGGUACCCAUCCGGGAUUUUUAUCCAAAUAAAAUGUAAAGGCAAGCGUAAGUACAUCUCGUACUCAGCAAAAAUAACAUAGGGUUCAUGAGGCUCAAAGGCUAGACAAUGGUUUAACUGCAUGUAGCUUUUAGUUGUCACAAUUUUAGCAUAUGAGUAGCAUCAAGUUGUCAAGUCCCAUAGUAAACUCAUGAUCAGGUAAAGUGAAUAAAGAAUAGCAUAAACAACAUUUUAACAAUAAUAACAUUUAAUGAAUUGCCAUUAGUGUUCAUUUAUUCUGUAUUGGUCCAAGGCCGCUCGUGACCGUGAGCACGGCUCAUAUAUCAUUUUUACACUCUGCAGAGGUUGUACACUUUCACUGUGAGUCGUGAUUUACCCUUUCGCCCGAGGUGAUCAGCCCCUUAGCCCACUCCCUAGGAAGACCGGCAGGGUUCACUAUGAAGCCUUUCAAAGAUUCGUCUAACAAGUUAGGGCCGCUAGGUUUUGUUAGUCAGUCCGUGACUCACCCGCAAGAAUCCACGGUCUGCUAUCCCCCACUUGCGCGACAAGGGUAACCACUAACAAGCUAGAAAAGGUCCUCAUACUGAGCUAAAGCCAGAGCCAUGUAGCCCUCAUAGUUGUACUAUAUGUCCCGGAUGGUCAGAUACAGAUAAGUCCUUAUGGAGAGAAACUAGAGCACCAUAAGAUAGCCCAAUGCUCCAGCCCUCUUUUUCCAACGUUGCUAAAAAGUCAUCUUUUAAUGUUUAUUGCAUAAUCCUUUAGUCAAAUUACAAGAUCAUGGUUUAGUGGAGCACUAGCAUAAGCUACCCAAUGCAUAACCAUAGGUGACAAGGUAUGAGAUCAAUACUAGGAAAUCCUUAUCAAGGAGACACAUGCAAUAUGAAUUGUGUGAUUAAAGUUAUUAGGAAACAAGGAUGAUCCCAUGCUAUACUUGCCUUGAAACUCAGAUCUUCUUUUAGUUCCAAAUCUUCCACAAUCUGCUUCUUGAUCACCACGUAAAAGCUCACCGACUAAACUCAGUCAUCACAUCAACAACAAUCAUCGAGAGGCAAUCAUACAAAGCAAAACAAACCUAUAAUUAGAACAAUACACCAAAAGUAGCCAAUAAAGGUAAAAAUUUUAUAAAACAAAUCUACAUCGCACUACGAUCACAUAGACGUAAAGAUCACAAAAAUCGGAGCUAUAACGAAGAAGUUAUGAUUUUCCUAAGAUUUCCUUUAAUAAAUUAAUUAAAUAGGAUCAUGAAAAUAAAAUGUUGUAAACUUGUAAAACAGUAGCACUAAUCUAUAGAUUACGCGAAAACGAAUCUAACUCAACUUGAACGGAUCAAAACGGAGUUUAAACGAAGAAUAUAUGAAUUUUCUAAUAUUUUCUUUAGAAAAACAAUUAAUUAAUUUGGUUCAUGGAAUUAAAAAGUUUCAAACUAAGAAAACAGUGUUACUAACAUGUAGAUCCUUUGAAUACAAAACCAACGCAAUUUGAACGAGUCUAAACGGAAUUAAGAUGAAUAUUUUAUGAGCAAUAUAAAACCAGUGGCAAUUUGGUAAUUUGCUGAAAACGUAUUUUGAAUCUGAGUACUGAGUUUACGUCUUCAAAGUCGGAAAGCGUAUUUUUGAAAUUACGUUUUGGACUGCGGGUUAGAUCUAUAAAAACGAGGGGGGCUCUUUUGCAAAAAUCGCGGCCGAAGGGGUAUCCUUCGAUCUCGGCCGUUGGAUCUCAAUUCGAUGGUCAAGAUUAGAUCGCAGGGGGGGUACUGAGUUGGCCGGCCGGAGUUGGACGGCCGCGGCGGCUCCAUGGCCGACCUUGGCUGGAGUUGGCCAAUCUGGCGACCCCGAGCGGUAGAACGCGAGCUAAACACAUGGGAUCGCUCAGGAGCUCGGUGCGAACUCACCUGGGGCAAAAACCGCGUGAAGAGAGGCCAGCUAGGGCUUGCGACUGUUGACACUUGCUAACACCACUUGAAUACUAGGUUGUCAUCCCCAGCAUGGCACUAGAGUGUACUAUGGUAUUUAUACGCACACAGAUAAUCCGCAAGUGCACGGAUACCGUUGAAGCUUUUAACCGGUUAAAGGUUUUAUCGUAUCCACAGGGAAACGGGAGAACUGAUCUACGCUCUAACUUAACCUAGAUAGAUAGAUAGGUGUAAAUAGGAAAGAUGGUAGAAUUGAAUAGGAACAAUAUUAAAGGUAAGAUAACAGUGAGUGAUAAUAUGGGAAUAGAGAGUAGAGCAAUCUAGUAUAUGGGCGAUGGUAGCAGAAUAGAGAGCAUAACUAUGGUUUCUCUACUUCAAAGGGGUAUGUCUAUGUCUGGGACGAACCACGUGAUAAGAUUACACCACAAAGGAUGCUUAUCCAUAGGCCGAUAAACCCUACCCGUCCUGCUAACGAGAGGUGGACUACAAAGGACCAACGUAACUAUCACCUACGCGGCCUACCACACGAUCCAGCUAGACAGGGGAUAUCCACAAGUAAUCUAGGUCUAAGGACCACGCUUACACCUAUACUACAACUCUAACCUAUAGCGUCCUAUAGAUUAGAAGUACUCAAAAGAGUUGUGAACCAGAACAUACAUAAUUAGUAAUUGCAUAAUGAAUUAGAAGUAGAUUACCAGAGUCAUCCCAUGAGCAAGCUUGAUUAGAGCUUGAUCAUGACGAAGUACAACCGGAGGAAGAACCGACAGGCCGGCCUCUCCUCUAAUCCUCCUUCGCUCUCCAUCUCGCUACUAUCUAGAUCUACUCUAGUUUAGAGAAGAGAGGAGAGCUCUCAUCUCUAAACCCUAGCUUUUGCUCUGUCUAUGAAUAAUGAAUAAUGAUCAAGGGGUGCCUCCUCCAGGGGCCAGGGGGUCUGGUUAUAUAGUCCCCUCAAGUGAACCUAGGCCGUUGGAUCAAAACCGACAUUGAUUGAACGGUUAUUCUUGAUCCUUUAGGUCGGUGGAGAUCUCCCGAGAGAAAUAGUCCCGAUUGGGCUCCAGAGGUGUGCGGGCGCCCAGGGCAGGAGGGCGGGCGCCCUGCCUCUGGCCCCGUUCGGUCUCCGCUUGCUUCUCGUGGCUUCUGGAGUCUUCUAGAUGUAAGAUAAUUGUGCGGCACGUUAAUAUCUCUAUGUAAUCCCGACGUGUGGGCCUUUCUUCCGUAUUUCCUGAUAACCCCCUGCAGAAAUAGACAAACACCAAAACUCGUGGAAUUCUGUCAGAUAAAACCCUAAGUCUAGAUGUUGAUUUCAUUUGGAUUCUUUUCUUUGUUUAUUUCAUAAUUAAAUUUGAUACUUAAGGACCGUCAACAAACUCCCCCAAGCUUACGUCUUGCUCGUCCCUGAGCAAGGAUAGACUCAGCAAUGGAUUAGAAGUUGUUGCAAUAUCUUAAAAAUUUGACGGUACACAUGCUUUUAAAUAAGAUCUCAUCUCUGAGUUAGAGUAAACUGUCAAGAACUAAAACUUACUUACUUUACCUUUCACCAUGGGACUUGUAACCGUCACUUCCAUCUUGAGCAGUUAAAAGAUAGAACAGUCUAGUCAAGUGUCAUGUCUCUUAUUCUUGAUCAGCUAUAACUCUGGAGUUUUUUGCAGAUUUUCAAAUAAAACUCAGAGAUUCCUUGUAUGACUCUCUCAUAUCUCUCUUUUGUGGUAUUUCUGGAUCCUUACCAAGGCAGUGAUGGUAUAUGCCUUCUCUCAAUAUAUGUAGUAUUUGUGGUAUGAAGUAUAGUGACAUUGUCUUCUCUCUCACCCUACUCUAAUAAGGCUUUAAUAUCUGGAGCUCAUAGGUGGGAGAUAAAAUAUACAUACUUACAAGACAUUUAUUGUAUAGUCAAACCAUGGAUCCAAAGAAACAAAUCAAUAAGCCAAAUCAAGAUGUGCAUGUGUGGCGAAUGAAUGGUGUAUGGUGAUGAUGGUGAUAACAAUGGUGAAAGUCUAAUUCUACUUUUGCUCUUUCGAGGGGAUACAUACCUUCCUUGCUUUUUGAAACUUUAUGAGGAGAAUGAGAUGCUCUUCUUUUUCUUUCCUCUCAGGUGGGUAUCUUGUACCCCUAAUUCUAUUGUCGGACACUUGUCCAUUUUUACCUCUCGUCUCACUUUUUCUUUCUUUCGAGGUUCCGGGCACUUGCCCCUUUUUAUUUCCUCGUUUAUAUAUUUAUUUAUUUUUUCUUCUCUUUUCUUUUUUUUCAGAGCACUCAUAUCUUGAGAUAAUAUAGCGAGUGGUAGUAGCAAGAUAACUUGAGCAUUUAUUUCACAAGGGAAAACAGAAAUAUUUUUGGCUAUUCUCUCCCGGAUUAGGAGUAGAAUAUUUUUGGGUGGUUCUGGAGAUGGAUGUGGAUGGUACUUCCAGAGUAAAAGUAGCAUAUAGGAGUGAACGUGCAAGUGAAUCUUGAUUUAACCACAUGACAAGCUCCUAAGGGUCUACACAGCUUGACCACACUCAAUGCUCAUAAGCAGUAAAUAAUAAAUGUGUGGCUCAAAGUCUAGCAAGCAUGUAUAUAUGGCUGUGGUAGGAAUUUAAACUCUCAUCAUACAGGAACUUAUCAUGCAAUAUUUUAAAGAUUUUUCAAAGAUAAAAUUCUCCAGAAUUCUAGCAUCUCUAGGAACAGAUAAACAGCAGCUCAACCUUCCCAUAUCAUAUCCGUUAACAACUUAGAUUUCAGAUCAAGUUUUCAUCCCACAAGUUUAGAUCUAGAGCAAGCUUUAAAUUAUAACAGUUAUGUCUAAACUUGAGAGAGAACUUCAAAUUUGCAAAUUAGGCAGAGCAACUAUUCAUUAUAUCCAUGCUAGAGUUUUAUUAUUAAGAUUCAGAUUAGCGUAGCCACUUUAUUUAUUUAUUAAACACACUAAGCAAAAGAUAUAUAUAUAUAUAUAAGCACAAAAUCUGUAUUUGGUUUUUCAUAGUUUAUGUAUUUUAAUAUUCUAACAUAAUAUAAGUAUAAAGAUAGGUAGAAAUACUUAGCGAGAUAAAUGGGGGUGCUCUCCCCCAAGCUGAAUUUUGACGUAAUUUCUCUUGAUGUAGCUAGCAGCUGGCAGAGGUGUAUUUGAAAGUCAGCAGCAUUCUGACAGCGAUUAGAAUGUCCUCUGUCUGCUAGUCUUUUUUAUUCUUAAAUUCUAUGGAGCUCAAAUAGACAACAAAGCUUGUAGAACUAAUUAAGUGUUAGCAUAAAUAUCUAGCCUUCAUCAUGUUGAGCUUCCUCAAUAAAUAUUACUCCUUGUUUUUAUAUUUUUAUUUUAUAAAGCAGAAAAGAAAUAUUUAUUUUAUUUUUACGCCACCACAGUGAAGGUACUUAUGGGUUUUAUGCCACUCGUAUACUCACAUGGGUCUUAGUAUUUUUUAACAUUUUUAUUUUCUUUUCUUUUCAAGAUAGCAUGAUUAACUGAUAAUCUAUUUAAGGAAAGUAAAUAAUUAAAGGGAAAAGGGAAUGCAGAAAGGAUAAAUAUAGAUAACUACCGAUAUUACCUUUCGGCGAGGGUUCAAUGUUUUAAGUCUUCUUAACAAGACUUCUCACCGUGUUCAUUCUUCAGGUGCGUCAUUUGAUUCAGGUGCGGACCUUGACGUCUGCACCUCUUCGUUUGCCCUGCAGUUCGAAGUGUGGCGUUGGAAGUAUCUUGCUCAGUGUGUUUGUGCUCGUAGAUCCAGGUCCUUGCUUGAAGAGUGAUGGUACAGUAUCACCUUGUGGAAGCUUUCCUUUCUUAGCGGUUGUGCAUCGUGUUUGUGGCACCCACCAUGGAUCAUCUCUCUAUGAUGAAUGAGCUAUGUCCUUCUUGUGCAAAUUGUUAAACUUCAUGUGUCACUCUCUUCGUCUCUGAUGUGAGUUUAUCUCAGGACUUCCCAAAUCGAUAUUGAAAGUUUUUCUACAGGGGUUAGUCCGAUAAAAAUAUACCAAUGUCUACACAAGCAGUUUUUAGUUCAAUAACCGAACUAGACUCCAUGUCUAAUCAGAUUAAGGAAGGUUGUUUAACCUAAGCACCACGCUUAAUUUAAAAGCCAAUAGAAGUAUGUGUGGUACUUCCAAACUAACACUUGCUAGUAAAUAGACAAAGGUAACAUGACAGCAUUUAUAGAGAUCUACUCAAGUGGAGAUGAAGUAGUGUGCUCAGUAUUUAACAAAUUGAGCAUGUCUUAAAGGUAGGGACAACCAACAUAGCAACAUGGCAAAGGAUGUUUUUAUGUAAAGUACUGCCCCAAGUUUGAAUUUUGCAGAAUUCAAGUUUGGAUGAAUUUAAUUCAGUGUUGCAUGAUGAUUGUUGACGGUCCUUAAGUAUCAAAUUUAAUUAUCAAAUAAACAAAGAAAAGGAUCCAAACGAAAUCAACAUCUAGACUUAGGGUUUUAUCUAACAGAAUUCCACGAGUUUUGGUGUUUGUCUAUUUUUGCAGGGGGUUAUCAGGAAAUACGGAAGAAAGGCCCACACGUCGGGAUUACAUAGAGAUAUUAACGUACCGCGCAAUUAUCUUACAUCUAGAAGACUCCAGAAGCCACGGGAAGGAAGCGGAGGCCGAACGGGCCCAGAGGCAGGGCGCCCGCCCUCCUGCCCUGGGCGCCCGCCCACCUCUGGAGCCCAAUCGGGACUCUUUCUCUCAGGAGAGCUCCACCGACCUAAAGGAUCAAGAAUAACCGUUCAAUCAAUGUCGGUUUGAUCCGACGGCCCAGGUUCACUUGAGGGGACUAUAAAACCAGACCCCCUGGCCCCUGGAGGAGGCACCCCUUGAUCAUUAAUCAUUAUUCAUAGACAGAGCAAAAGAUAGGGUUUAGAGAUGAGAGCUCUCCUCUCUUCUCUAAACUAGAGUAGAUCUAGAUAGUAGCAAGAUGGAGAGCGAAGGAGGAUUAGAGGAGAGGCCGGCCUGUCGGUUCUUCCUCCGGUUGUACUUCAUCAUGAUCAAGCUCUAAUCAAGCUUGCUCAUGGGAUGACUCUGGUAAUCUACUUCUAAUUCAUUAUGCAAUUACUAAUUAUGUAUGUUCUGGUUCACAACUCUUUUGAGUAUUCUAAUCUAUAGGACGCUAUAGGUUAGAGUUGUAGUAUAGGUGUAAGCGUGGUGCUUAGACCUAGAUUACUUGUGGAUAACCCCUGUCUAGCUGGAUCGUGUGGUAGGCCGCGUAGGUGACAGUUACGUUGGUCCUCUGUAGUCCACCUCUCGUUAGCAGGACGGGUAGGGUUUAUCGGCCUAAGGAUAAGCAUCCUUUGUGGUGUACUCUUAUCACGUGGUUCGUCCCAGACAUAGACAUACCCCUUUGAAGUAGAGAAACCAUAGAUAUCCUCUCUAUUCUGCUACCAUCGCCCAUAUACUAGAUUGCUCUACUCUCUAUUCCCAUAUUAUCACCCAUUGUUAUCUUACCUUUAAUAUUAUUCGAUUCUACCAUCUUUCCUAUUUACACCUAUUUACUUAUCCUGGUUAAGUUAGAGCGUAGUUGGUUCUCCCGUUUCCCUGUGGAUACGAUAAAACCUUUAACCGGGUAAAAGCUUCAACGGUAUCCGUGCGCUUGCGGAUUAUCUGUGUGCGUAUAAAUACCAUAGUACACUCUAGUGCCAUGCUGGGGAUGACAACCUAGUAUUCAAGUGGUGUUAGCAAGUGUCAACAAGCAUUUUUGGCGCCGUUGCCGGGGAAAACGGUUGCUGAGUUGACUACGAACUAGCUUAAUCAUUUUCUAAAAAAAAUAAAAAAAAAAUUUCCUUUUAUCCUUGUCUCAUCUCUGCUAAUCUUUUUUCUUAUCUAAUCCUUGAUCUCUGGUCUAUCAUGAAUUCAAACAUGUCUAUCUAUGAAUUUCAUAGACCUACGGGCACACAUCUCGAACCACCAAAAUCUUCAAAGCCUAUCAUAGCAUCUAGUUUUGAGAUAGACCCCGAAUACAUAGAAUUUGUUCAAAAACAACCUUUCUCAGGAGAAGGUGAGGAAAACCCAUACACACACCUAAGAGAGUUUUAUCGAGUCUGUGACCUCCUUCGCAUAGAAGGAAUGUCCGAUCAGACCCUUAAAUGGAAGCUCUUUCCGUUCUCUUUAACGGGAAAAGCUAGACAUUGGUACAAACUCAAAAUAGGGAGUGUUCAUGGAGAUUGGAAGGAGUUACAUAAUAGUUUUCUUUCUAAAUAUUUUCUAAUCUCCAAAGUGGCGGAACUUCGGCGUGAGAUUAUUUCUUUUAGACAACUAGAAGAAGAAUCUCUUACGAAAUCAUGGGACCGCUUUAUUAACCUUACUCUCACUGGCCCAAAGCUUUCUAUUCCAGAAGAAGUUCUUCUAAUUCACUUUUUUCAGGGCCUUAGUAGGGAAAAUAAGCAAACCUUGAAUACAGCCUCUAGAGAAUCCUUCUAUCACCUACCUGCUAGUGAAGCUUGGAAUUUGAUUGAUUUAUUAAGUGGGAAGUCUCCUAGCUUUUAUAUCCCUGAUAAAACGACAGAACCAGUUCCUAGACAAGAAGAAGAAGUUUCGAUAGCCAGAUCACAACCACUUCAAUUCCAAACUUUAGCUAUCGAUCCUAAACCAUCAAUACCCCAAAAUUCUCCAAGGGAGGAAGGAAUUCUGACCUUAAAUCUUUCAGAUGCUGAUGGUUUAGACUUAUGGUUCCAUAAGAGACCUUCAAGUAGGGAUAAUUCAAAUCCCUGCAAUAAUGGUUCUCUUAGAGAAUGUCCUGGUUCCUGUUAUGAAGAAGUUGAGGAUGACAUAUCAAGUGAAGGAGAGCUAAACUAUAUAGAAAAUUCUAUCUGCUCCCCUUCCAUGUUCACAAAUUCUAAAUCCAUCCUUUACCUUAGAGACCCCUCUUAUCCCUCUCCUUUUAAGUCUCAUGAUGAUCCUAAAAAUCCAUCAAGACUAUCAAACCAUAGGAGUCAUAAAGACCAUGAGGAUGACAUGUCAAGUAAUGUCAUAGAAGGAGAGCUAAGCCAUAUAGAAAAUCCUAACACCUCCCCUGUCUUGAUCACAAGUUCUAAAUGGCUAGAAUGUGUAGAAUGGAUGGAUAAGGAAGAAGCCUUAAUGGAUUCUGACUUUGGCUCAAUUUCAAAUGGUGAGUUCUUGACUCCCUUUGAAAAUGAGAUUCAUCCAACUACAGAAGAGGACAUAGGUGAGACCAAUUCAGGAGAAACUCCAAACAUUCAGAUUGGAGACGAAGAUAACAUUAAUGAGCAUGGAAUUUAUUUCAUAGCCACUUCAUUUACUCCAUGCUCAUAUGCAACAUCUUCCCAAUCUAUUGGUCUCUCCAACAUCACCACAUUUGAGAUCUCCAACCCCCUCUUCCUUUCUAUUUAUAAAAACUUUAAAAUGGCGGUUGUCGAUGCAUAUGUCUACAAUAAAUAUUGCAGAUCUCAUUGAGUUGAUCUUGAUAUAGGACAGCGUUGGAAGGGAAACCACUUCGCUGACAUAAAUUGAUGGUUUCCCAAGGACAAGCUUGGUGUCCUAAAAUAAGCACUAAUCAGAUCAUAACAUGAGUUUUUAAUUGUUUGCAACAUUACAUUGUGUAUUGAGCAUAUAAGGAUAAAUGUAAAAAUAUUCCUUCGGGUAUUCUUGUCACUAACCUUUCUAGGAUUGGAACAAGAAGAUCAGAUGAAUGACAAGCAAGUACAAGGUAUGUCCAACCAAUCAUCAUGCAACACUGAAUUAAAUUCAUCCAAACUUGAAUAUUGCAAAAUUCAAGCUUGGGGGAGUACUUUACAUAAAAACAUCCUUAACCAUGUUGCUAUGUUGGUUGUCCCUACCUUUAAGACAUGCUCAAUUUUUUAAAUACUAAUCACACUACUUCAUCUCCACUUGGGUAGAUCUCUAUAAAUGCUGUCAUGUUACCUUUGUCUAUUUACUAGUAAAUGUUAGUUUGGAAGUACUGCACAUACUUCUAUUGGCUUUUAAAUUAAGCAUGGUGCUUAGGUUAAACAGCCUUCCUUAAUCUGAUUAGACAUGGAGUCUAGUUCGGUUAUUGAACUAAAAACUGCUUGUGUAGACAUUGGUAUAUUUUUGACGGACUAACCCCUCCAGAAAAACUUUCAAUAUCGAUUUGGGAAGUCCUGAGAUAAACUCACAUCAGAGACGAAGAGAGUGACACAUGAAGUUUAACAAUUUGCACAAGAAGGACAUAGCUCAUUCAUCAUAGAGAGAUGAUCCAUGGAGGGUGCCACAAACACGAUGCACAACCGCUAAGAAAGGAAAGCUUCAACAAGGUGAUACUGUACCAUCACUCUUCAAGCAAGGUAACAUCUUAAGGUACUUGACUAUCACUUUUAUAAGCUUCUCCUUGGUUCUGGCGUUCAUAUAAAUAAAAGAGACAAACAUGUAUGAUUUACAACUCUAGAUUAACCAACCCAACUGAUUCAACAUGUUUAGUCCUUUAAUCCUUGUUCUUAGCACUACCUCCAUGAUCCCACACUCCUAAUCAUAUGAGCUAAAAUGUUACACAUUCAAUCAUUGAGAGAUAUAUAGAAAAAGACAUAUACAUAGAUAGAUUAUCUUUACAUCAGGUUGAGUGAUCUGAUGUGACAAACGUUAUAAGUGCUACACUCAUGAACUUUUCAUCCAUCAACUUUGUCUUGCUCACUAUGCUUAGGGUUAGAGAAGAACAAAUACACUUUAGGUUCUGUUGGUGUUUUCCACCAACAGGACCCAUGCACUUGAUCUCUGCCUUGUCACUAUGAGCAGGUACACUUUGAGCAAAACACGGAGGAGUUUUAUAACUCUCAGACUCUACCAAGUGAAGGACCUGGAUCUAUGAGCACAAACACACUGAGCAGGUUACUACCAACGCCGCACUUCGAACUGCUGGGCAAACGAAGAGGUGCAGACGUUAAGGUCCGCACCUGAAUCAAAUGACGCACCUGAAGAAUGAACACGGUGAGAAGUCUUGUUAAGAAGACUUAAAACAUUGAACCCUCGCCGAAAGGUAAGAUCGGUAGUUAUUCAUAUUUAUCCUUUCUGCAUUCCCUUUUUCCUUUAAUUAUUUACUUUCCUUAAAUAGAUUAUUAGUUAAUCAUGCUAUCUUGAAAAGAAAAUAAAAAUGUUAAAAAAAUACUAAGCCCCAUAUGAGUAUACGAGUGGCAUAAAACCCAUAAGUACCUUCACUGUGGUGGCAUAAAAAUAAAAUAAAUAUUUCUUUUCUGCUUUAUAAAAUAAAAAUAAAAAAACAGGGAGUAAUAUUUAUUGAGGAAGCUCAACAUGAUGAAGGCUAGAUAUUUAUGCUAACACUUAAUUAAUUCCACAAGCUUUGUUGUCUAUUUGAGCUCCACAGAACUUAAGAAUCAAGAAGACUAGCAGACGGAGAAUAUUCUAAUCGCUGUCAGAAUGCUGCUGACUUCCAAAUACACCUCUGCCACCUGCUAGCUACAUCAAGAGAAAUUACGUCAAAAUUCAGCUUGGGGGAGAGCACCCCCAUUUAUCUCGCUAAGUAUUUAUACCUAUCUUUAUACUUAUAUUAUAUUAGAAUACUAAAAUACAUAAACUAUGAAAAACCAAAUAAAGAUUUUGUGCUUAUAUAUAUAUCUUUUGCUUAAUGUGUUUAAUAAAUAAAUAAAGUGGCUAUGCUAAUCUGAAUCGUAAUAAUAAAACUCUAGCAUGGAUAUGAUGAAUAGUUUCUCUGCCUAGUUUGCACAUUUGAAGUUCUCUCUCAAGUUUAGACAUAACUGUUAUAAUUUAAUGCUUGCUCUAGAUCUAAACUUGUGGGAUGAAAACUUGAUCUGAAAUCUAAGUUGUUAACGGAUAUGAUAUGGGAAGGUUGAGCUGCUGUUUAUCUGUUCCUAGAGAUGCUAGAAUUCGGGAGAAUCUUAUCUUUGAAAAAUCUUUAAAAUAUUGCAUGAUGAGUUCCUGUAUGAUGAGAGUUUAAAUUCCUACCACAGCCAUAUAUACAUGCUUGCUAGACUUUGAGCCACACAUUUAUUAUUUACUGCUUAUGAGCAUUGAGUGUGGUCAAGCUGUGUAGACCCUUAGGAGCUUGUCAUGUGGUUAAAUCAAGAUUCACUUGCACGUUCACUCAUAUAUGCUACUUCUACUUCGGAAGUACCAUCCACAUAUAUCCAUCCAUGUCCAUCUCCAGAACCACCCAAAAAUAUUCUACUCCUAAUCCGGGAGAGAAUAGCCAAAAAUAUUUCUGUUUUCUCUUGUGAAAUAAAUGCUCAAGUUAUCUUGCUACUACCACUUGCUAUAUUAUCUCAAGAGAUGAGUGCUCUGAAAAAAAAGAGAAAAGAGAAAAAAAAUAUAAACGAGGAAAUAAAAAGGGGCAAGUGCCCGAAACCUCGAAAGAAAGAAAAAGUGAGACGAGAGGUAAAAAUGGACAAGUGUCCGACAGUAGAAUUAGGGGUACAAGAUACCCACCUGAGAGGAAAGAAAAAGAAGAGCAUCUCAUUCUCCUUAUAAAGUUUCAAAAAGCAAGGAAGGUAUGUAUCCCGUCAAAAGAGCAAAAGUAGAAUCAGACUUUCACCAUUGUUAUCACCAUCAUCACCAUACACCAUUCAUUCGCCACACAUGCACAUCUUGAUUUGGCUUAUUGAUUUGUUUCUUUGGAUCCAUGGUUUGACUAUACAAUAAAUGUCUUGUAAGUAUGUAUACUUUAUCUCCCACCUAUGAGCUCCAGAUAUUAAAGCCUUAUUAGAGUAGGGUGAGAGAGAAGGCAAUGUCACUAUGCCUUAUACCACAAAUACCACAUAUCUUGAGAGAAGGCAUAUACCAUCACUGCCUUGGUAAGGAUCCAGAAAUACCACAAAAGAGAGAUUUAGAGAGUCAUACAAGGAAUCUCUGAGUUUUAUUUGAAAAUCUGCAAAAACUCCAGAGCUAUAGCUGAUCAAGAAUAAGAGACAUGGCACUUGGCUAGACUGUUCUAUCUUUUAACUACUCAAGACAGAAGUGACGGUUACAAGUCCCAUGGUGAAAGGUAAAGUAAGUAAGUUUUAGUUCUUGACAGUUUACUCUAAUUUAGAGAUGAGAUCUUAUUUAAAAGCAUGUGUACCGUCAAAUUUUUAAGAUAUUGCAACAACUUCUGAUCCAUUGCUGAGAUUAUCCUUGCUUAGGGACGAGCAAGAGUUAAGCUUGGGGGAGUUUGUUGACGGUCCUUAAGUAUCACAUUUAAUUAUCAAAUAAACAAAGAAAAGGAUUCAAAUGAAAUCAACAUCUAGACUUAGGGUUUUAUCUGACAGAAUUCCAUGAGUUUUGGGGUUUGUCUAUUUCUGCAGGGGGUUAUCAGGAAAUACGGAAGAAAGGCCCACACGUCGGGAUUACAUAGAGAUAUUAACGUACCGCGCAAUUAUCUUACAUCUAGAAGACUCCAGAAGCCACAGGAAGGAAGCGGAGGCCGAACGGGGCCAGAGGCAGGGCGCCCGCCCUCCUGCCCUGGACGCCCGCCCACCUCUGGAGCCCAAUCGGGACUCUUUCUCUCGGGAGAUCUCCACCGACCUAAAGGAUCAAGAAUAACCGUUCAAUCAAUGUCGGUUUGAUCCGACGGCCCAGGUUCACUUGAGGGGACUAUAAAACCAGACCCCCUGGCCCCUGGAGGAGGCACCCCUUGAUCAUUAAUCAUUAUUCAUAGACAGAGCAAAAGCUAGGGUUUAGAGAUGAGAGCUCUCCUCUCUUCUCUAAACUAGAGUAGAUCUAGAUAGUAGCAAGAUGGAGAGCGAAGGAGGAUUAGAGGAGAGGCCGGCCUGUCGGUUCUUCCUCCGGUUGUACUUCGUCAUGAUCAAGCUCUAAUCAAGCUUGCUCAUGGGAUGACUCUGGUAAUCUACUUCUAAUUCAUUAUGCAAUUACUAAUUAUGUAUGUUCUGGUUCACAACUCUUUUGAGUAUUCUAAUCUAUAGGACGCUAUAGGUUAGAGUUGUAGUAUAGGUGUAAGCGUGGUGCUUAGACCUAGAUUACUUGUGGAUAUCCCCUGUCUAGCUGGAUCGUGUGGUAGGCCGCGUAGAUGACAGUUACGUUGGUCCUCUGUAGUCCACCUCUCGUUAGCAUGACGGGUAGGGUUUAUCGGCCUAAGGAUAAGCAUCCUUUGUGGUGUACUCUUAUCACGUGGUUCGUCCCAGACAUAGACAUACCCCUUUGAAGUAGAGAAACCAUAGUUAUCCUCUCUAUUCUGCUACCAUCGCCCAUAUACUAGAUUGCUCUACUCUCUAUUCCCAUAUUAUCACCCAUUGUUAUCUUACCUUUAAUAUUAUUCGAUUCUACCAUCUUUCCUAUUUACACCUAUGUACUUAUCCUGGUUAAGUUAGAGCGUAGUUGGUUCUCCCGUUUCCCUGUGGAUACGAUAAAACCUUUAACCGGGUAAAAGCUUCAACGGUAUCCGUGCGCUUGCGGAUUAUCUGUGUGCGUAUAAAUACCAUAGUACACUCUAGUGCCAUGCUGGGGAUGACAACCUAGUAUUCAAGUUGUGUUAGCAAGUGUCAACAAUGAUUGGUUGGACAUACCUUGUACUUGCUUAUCAUUUAUCUGAUCUUCUUGUUCCAAUCCUGGAAAGGUUAGUGACAAGAAUACCCGAAGGAAUAUUUUUACAAUUAUCCUUAUAUGCUCAAUACACAAGGUAAUGUUGCAAAUAAUUAAAAACUCAUGUUAUGAUCUGAUCAGUGCUUAUUUUAGGACACCAAGCUUGUCCUUGGGAAACCAUCAAUUUAUUUCGGCGAAGUGGUUUCCGUUCCAACGCUGACCUAAAUCAAGAUCAACUCAACGAGAUCUGCAAUAUUUAUUAUAGACAUAUGCAUCGACAACUGCCCUUUUAAAGUUUUUAUAAAUAGAAAGGAAGAGGGGGUUGGAGAUCUCAAAUGUGGUGAUGUUGGAGAGACCAAUAGAUUGGGAAGAUGUUGCAUAUGAGCAUGGAGUAAACGAAGUGGCUAUGAAAUAAAUUCUAUGCUCAUUAAUGUUAUCUUCGUCUCCAAUCUGAAUGUUCGGAGUUUCUCCUAGAUUGGUCUCACCUAUGUCCUCUUCUGUAGUUGGAUGAACCUCAUCUUCAAAGGGAGUCAAGAACUCACCAUUUGAAAUUGAGCCAAAGUCAUAAUCCAUUAAGGCUUCUUCCUUAUCCAUCCAUUCUACACAUUCUAGCCAUUUAGAACUUGUGAUCAGGAAAGGGGAGGUGUUAGAAUUUUCUAUAUGGUUUGGCUCUCCUUCUAUGACAUUACUUGACAUGUCAUCCUCAUGGUCUUUAUGACUCCUAUGGUUUGAUCGUCUUGAUGGAUUGUUAGGAUUAUCAUGAGACUUAAAAGGAGAAGGAUAAGAGGUGUCUCUAAGGUCAAGGAUGGAUUUAAAAUUUGUGAACAUGGAAGGGGAGAAGAUAGAAUCUUCUAUAUGGUUUAGCUCUCCUUCACUUGAUAUGUCAUCCUCGACUUCUUCAUAACAGGAACCAGGACAUUCUCUAAAAGAACCAUUAUUGCAAGGAUUUGAAUUAUCCCUGCUUGAAGGUCUCUUAUGAGACCAGAAGUCUAAACCAUCAGCAUCUGAAAGAUUUAAGGUCGGAAUUCCUUCCUCCCUUGGAGAAUUUGGGGGUAUUGAUGGUUUAGGAUCGAUAGCUAAAGUUUGGGAUUGAAGUGGUUGUGAUCUGGCUAUCGAAACUUCUUCUUUUUGUCUAGGAACUGGUUCUGUCUCUUUCUCAAGGAUAUAAUAGCUUGGAGACUUUCUGCUCAUUAAAUCAAUCAAAUUCUAAGCUUCACUAGCGGAUAGGUGGUGGAAAGAUCCUCCAGAGGCCGCAUGAAGGGUUUGCUUAUUUUCCCUACUAAGGCCCUCAAAAAAGUGUAUUAGAAGAACUUCUUCUGGAAUAGAAAGCUUUGGGCCAGUAAGAGUAAGGCUAAUGAAGCGGUCCCAUGAUUUGCCAAGAGAUUCUUCUUCCAGUUGUCUAAAAGAAAGAAUCUCAUGCCAAAGUUCCACCACUUUGGAGAUUGGAAAAUAUUUAAAAAGAAAACUAUUAUGUAACUCCUUCCAAUCUCCAUGAACACUCCCUAUUUUGAGUUUGUACCAAUGUCUAGCUUUUCCCGUUAGAGAGAACGGAAAGAGCUUCCAUUUAAGGGUCUCAUCGGACAUGCCUUCUAUGCGAAGGAGGUCACAGACUCUAUAAAACUCUCUUAGGUGUGUGUAUGGGUUUUCCUCACCUUCUCCUGAGAAAGGUUGUUUUUGAACAAAUUCUAUGUAUUCGGGGUCUAUCUCAAAACUAGAUGCUAUGAUAGGCUUUGAAGAUUUUGGUGGUUCGAGAUGUGUGCCCGUAGGUCUACGAAAUUCAUAGAUAGACAUGUUUGAAUUCAUGAUAGACCAGAGAUCAAGGAUUAGAUAAGAAGAAAGAUUAGCAGAGAUGAGGCAAAGGAUAAAAGGAAAAAAUAUAUAUUUUUUUAUUUUUUUUAGAAAAUGAUUAAGCUAGUUCGUAGUCAACUCAGCAACCGUUUCCCCGGAAACGGCGCCAAAAAUGCUUGUUGACACUUGCUAACACCACUUCAAUACUAGGUUGUCAUCCCCAGCAUGGCACUAGAGUGAACUAUGGUAUUUAUACGCACACAGAUAAUCCGCAAACGCACGGAUACCGUUGAAGCUUUUACCCGGUUAAAGGUUUUAUCGUAUCCACAGGGAAACGGGAGAACUGAUCUACGCUCUAACUUAACCUAGAUAGAUAGAUAGGUGUAAAUAGGAAAAAUGGUAGAAUUGAAUAGGAACAAUAUUAAAGGUAAGAUAACAGUGAGUGAUAAUAUGGGAAUAGAGAGUAGAGCAAUCUAGUAUAUGGGCGAUGGUAGCAGAAUAGAGAGGAUAACUAUGGUUUCUCUACUUCAAAGGGGUAUGUCUAUGUCUGGGACGAACCACGUGAUAAGAUUACACCACAAAGGAUGCUUAUCCAUAGGCCGAUAAACCCUACCCGUCCUGCUAACGAGAGGUGGACUAUAGAGGACCAACGUAACUGUCACCUACGCGGCCUACCACACGAUCCAGCUAGACAGGGGAUAUCUACAAGUAAUCUAGGUCUAAGCACCAUGUUGACGGUCCUUAAGUAUCAAAUUUAAUUAUCAAAUAAAUAAAGAAAAGGAUCCAAAUGAAAUCAACAUCUAGACUUAGGAUUUUAUCUGACAGAAUUCCACGAGUUUUGGUGUUUGUCUUUUCUGCAGGGGGUUAUCAGGAAAUAUGGAAGAAAGGCCCACACGUCGGGAUUACGUAAAGAUAUUAACGUGCUGCGCAAUUAUCUUACAUCUAGAAGACUCCAGAAGCCACGAGACCGAAGCGGAGGCGAAACGGGGCCUGACCCAGGGCACCCGCCCAGUUGGUCAGGGCGCCCGCCCUGCCCCUGAGUCCAAUUAGGACUCUGCUUUGCGGGAGAUUUCCACCGACCUAAAGGAUGAAUCUAAACCAUACAAUCUAUGUCGGUUUGAUCCAAGGGCCCAUAUUCACUUGAAGGAACUAUAAAACCAGACCCCCUGGCCCCUGGAGGAGAGAGCCUCUCAACCCUAAUUUAUUGUUCCAUCAAGGGAGAAGAAGCCUCUGAUCAAGAUUAGAGCCACCACAUCAAUUAGAUAUCUAGAUUAGCAUAGCUACAUAGGAUUAGAACUAGAAGGAGUCAAUCUUCGAUUGGUUUCCGGAUCUGUCAAGAGGAUUCUUGGUAAUUCUCUAAUUGUGCUUCUAAUUGCUUUCUAAUUAUCUUUGUUCUUCAAUAUUAUGAAUAUGAAUUUGUUCUACUUCAAUAUAUUGCUUAUGACUUUGCUCUACUUGCUUAUAUUCAAGAUUAUAUUGUUCUUAGUUUAUCAUAGUUAUGUACUUGGCUUAGUUAGAUUCGAUCUAUAUACAUGCUUAGGAUCGUAUAGCGUUUAUCCAUCGGAUCCAUGGGUAAAUGAUAGAUAUUGUGUAGGCAUGGUGCUUAUACCGUAUUUGUCUGCGAUUGUACCCAAUAUGCCAGAUCAUGGGGUGGUUCGUGAUAGUGACAGCUUCAUUGAUUCUUAUAUAGUCCCCCUCUCGUGUAUUGGGCUGGCAGAGCAACAUUAUUACAGGGGAGUGAUUGCUAUGUUUCUCAUAUUCCUUGCUAAUAUCACUAUGCAUGGGCGUAGUCUUGUCUCGCAAUGAUUGCUAAGUAUGCUUGCACUAACUAUGAUAUGCUAGACUAUAUAGUUGAGAGUAACUUAGGGAAUAUUCUUGUAGUUCGUUCUAAUACCAUGCUAAUGACUUUCUAGAGUAUCUAAUUGAGGUGCUUAUCAUAUUUAUUAUGUGGCUAGAUCAGAUUAGUUAUCCUUGUCACUAUUAUUAUUUCAUAUAUCUUUUAUGUGACACUUAUCCCUGUAUGAAGAGUUAGAUAUAAUGUUCUCAAUUAUACAUGCAAUGAUAGAUGCUCAAUCUUAUAUUCUAUUCUGUAAUCAAUAGUGAUGAUUGCUAAUCCCUUCCCAGUGGUAAAAAUAUAAAUAACGAUACCUGGAAUACUUCCCGGUUAAAAUGCUGCAUCGGUAUUAAUCUGUGCGCUUGUAGAUCCCAUUCAUUAUUUAUUUAGAAGAGCAAUUGCAUAUUUCAAUACCGCAUCUCUUAUAUCAUGCUGGGGAUGACAACUUGGCUUAAGUGGUGUGAGGGAUAGGUUUGGCAUUUUUGGCACCGUUACUAGAUUUAGAGAACUUAGUCUACUUUUGGUAAUGAUGUUAAGAAUACCCAACAAGCAUAUUUGGCGCCGUUGCCGGGGAAGGUUGAUUACUAAUCAGGAAUGGAAUAAAAGAUUUUGAGUUAUCAUUCGCAUCACUAAUAUGAUUGAGCUUAUCUAUUCUCUCAUACAGUUUUACCCCGAUAUUUUUCUAUUUUAUCUUAUGCAGGGGAAGGUAUGAAUAGAAGACAUCUUCCAGGAAAUUUUGUUGACAACCCUGAAGCAUUAUUCAAGAAGAUGAGAGCCAAGCUAAAGAAAUAAUCAACAUUUUAGCAAGAAGCUUCAUCCAAUCAAGAAGAUCACCGGAACUUGUCUUCAGAGUUCGAAGCCAUGGCGAACAAAUCAAUCCGUGAGUUCUUAGCUCCCACUACGGACAACAUCCGCACUGGACCUGCUGCAGAGAUCGAUGGCAACUUUGAGCUCAAGCCUGGACUUAUCAACAUGGUGCAAUCCAACCAGUUCUGUGGGAAGGCACAUGAAGAUGCUAGUGCUCAUUUACAACACUUCCUGGAGAUUUGCAACACAUUCACCAUAUCAGGAGUUUCCAAAGAUGCUAUACUACUUCGCCUCUUCCCAUUCUCACUGUUAGGAAGAGCGAAGCAGUGGUUCUACGCUACAAAGGAGAAGAAUACUACGUGGGCACUCUGCUCAACAAACUUCCUGGCUAAGUUCUUUCCCAUGGGCAAGACCAAUGCUCUCCGUGGGAAGAUUACAAGUUUUCAGCAACAAAAUGAUGAAUCUAUUCCAGAAGCAUGGGAGCGCUUUCAAGACUACAUCCUAGAAUGUCCCCAUCAUGGAAUGGAGAGUUGGCUAUUGAUGCAGACGUUUUAUCAUGGGCUCGGCAACAAUGCCCGAGAGACCAUGGAUGCUGCAGCUGGAGGAGCAUUCUUAUCACUUACUAUACCACAAGCCACAGCUCUUGUGGAGAAGAUGGCGUCCAAUCAAAGCUGGAAUGAAGAGAGGACCCAGACACGCAAGAGAGGUGGAGGUAUGCAUCAGCUGAAGGAGGUAGACAUGCAGUCUGCAAAGCUAGACCUGCUCAUGAAGAAGCUCAAUGAUAGAGCUGGAGACAAGAAAGAAGUUAUGCACACCUACGACUCUCACAUGACUUAUGAGGAGUGUGGAGACACUGGACACUCAGGCAACCACUGCCCUGAGAUACUUGAGGAUGUGAACUACAUCAACAACAACUACUACUACUACUACAACCGUCCUCAACAAAAUCAAGGUUGGAAUCAACAGAGGCCUAACUACUCAGGUAAUUAUCAAGGUAACAAUUCUUACAAUAAUAAUUUUCCACCUUUGAGAGAGUUAGUGUCUAAUCAAGGAAAGCUAAUGGAUAACCUAUCUAAGAAAUUGGCAUCUAAUGAUAAAAUGCUAGAAAAUAUAAAUAAUAGAAUGGAUAAUUUUUCUACUGCCAUCAAGAAUCAAAUUAGCUUUAAUAAAAUGAUUGAAUCUCAGUUAAAUCAAAUAGCUGCUGCUGUUCCUACUACUAACCCCGGUAUACCAUCACAACCGGAAGGAUUAGAAUCUGCAAAUCUUGUAGACAUGUUUGAUGCAGGUAAUUGGAGUAACCCCGUCAAUGAAUUCUCUACUGACCUUCUGCUGGUCAAGAGUGGAGAUCCAGGACGCCCCGUCAUCCCGAUCUCCAUCGGCAUGGUGGACAUUCUAGAAGCACUCUGUGACUUUGGCUCCAGUGUCAACAUUAUACCCAGGGUACUCUAUGAAAAAUUCUUUAAAUAUCCUUUAUUAGAGACAACCAUGUGUUUGCAAUUUGCAGAUCAGACGAUAACUUUUCCAAAAGGAAUAUUGAAGAACCUUUGUGUCCGAGUUGGUACCUUGUAUGCCCUAGCAGACUUCGUAGUAGUAGAGACCGGAAAUGAUGAGAGAGCACCCAUCAUCUUAGGGAGGCCAUUCUUGAACACCACGGGAGCUAUCAUCUACGCCAGUGCUGCCAAGAUCAGUUUCUACGUCAAAGGGAGGAAGGAGACAUUUUUCUUCAAGAACAAGACUACACAAAUUCCAGAUCAAUCCAGACGUGAAUCAAGGAAGAGGACCAAUAGGAGGAACAGGAACAAGCAAGUGUGGACCGAGUCAGCUAAGAUGGUCACUGUAGUUCAUGGAGGCCAAGAUCACCAACUUAAGUCACCGUGUUUGACCAAGAAGGACGACCCAGGAAUGCCAAGCAUUUACUGCUCCAUAAAUGGAUACAACUUCUACAAGACAUUUUGUGACACCGGAUCAGGCGUCAACAUAAUGGCCGCAGUCACCUAUCGGCUCUUGUUCGGGACCAUGCCCCUAAGACCAACAUACAUUCAGCUCCAGAUGGCAGAUCAGACAUUUCGAGAAGUUAAAGGAAUAGUAACUGAUGUCCCAGUCAAAAUAGACGAUCACUUUGUCUACACAGACUUUCAAGUUAUUGACAUGGGAGAAGAUGAAUACGAUCCACCCAUCAUCCUUGGAAGACCGUUCCUCGGCACCGUCAAAGCAAUUAUCUACAUUGGAACCGGAGAAGUCCAUAUGCACUUCCCCUCAGAGAAGGUACGCCGUUAUUUUACUGACCCUAACUAUAUUGUUAAAGAAUCUAAGCAGGUCAGAAAGAGACGCAACCGCAACCAGAGGAGGCAGAUCAUCAAGGACGGAUGGGCAGACUAUGAAGGAGAAGUUGUAAGAUCAGAAGACGUUGAGUUUAAACAGAAUUAUCCAGAGGAGAUUGAAGCACCGAGUCAGGUAUAGAAAAUGAAGAUAACUAUACAAGAAGAGGAGGCGCUGCCGGAAGUACCGACUACGCCACCCAACGAACCUCAGGACGAUUGAAAAAAUGGAGAGUCCCGUUCGGUGGACUUAAAAACACCGAACGCCUUGCCAAGAGGUAAACUUGGUAGUUAUCCUUUCCCUUUCAAUUAUUUUAAAUAGUUUACUUAGUUAAUCAUGUUCGUACUAUCUUAAAAAGAAAAUAAAAAUAUGAGAAAAACAGUAAGCCCCAUGUGAGUAUACGAGUGGCAUAAAACCCAUAAGUACAUUCACUGUGGUGGCAUAAAAAUAAAAUAAAUAUUUUUCUGCUUUAUAAAAUGAAAAUAUAAAAACAGGGAGUAAUAAUUAUUAAGGAGUCUCAACAUGAUAAAGGCUAGAUAUUUAUGCUAACACUUAAUUAGUUCCACAAGCUUUGUUGUCUAUUUUAGCUCCACAGAAUUUAAGAAUCAAGAAGACUAGCAGACGGAGGACAUUCUAAUCGCUGUCAGAAUGCUGCUGACUUUCAAAUACACCUCUGCCGCCUGUUAGCUACAUCAAGACAAAUUACGUCAAAAUUCAGCUUGGGGGAGAGCAUCCCCAUUUAUCCCGGUAAGUAUUUCUAUCUAUCUUUAUACUUAUAUUAUUUUAGAAUAUAAAUAUACAUAACUAUGGAAAACCAAAUAAAGAGUUUAUGCUUAUAUAUAUACAUAUAUAUAUAUAUAUAUCUUUUGCUUAGUGUGUUUAAUAAAUAAAUAAAGUGGCUAUGCUAAUCUGUAUCUAAAUAAAACUUAAGCAUGGAUAUGAUGAAUAGUUGCUCUGCCUAAUUUGCACAUUUUAAGUUCUCUCUCUCAAGUUUAGAUAUAACUGUUAUAAUUUAAAGCCUGCCCUAGACCUAAACUUGUGGGAUGAAAACUUGAUCUAAAGUCUAAGUUGUUAACGGAUAAGAUAUGGGAAGGUUGAGCUGCUGUUUAUCUGUUCCUAGAGAUGCUAGAAUUCUGGAGAAUUUUAUCUUUGAAAAUCUUUUAAAAUGUUGCAUGAUGAGUUCCUGUAUGAUGAGAGUUUUAAAUUCCUACCACAGCCAUAUAUACAUGCUUGCUAGACUUUGAGCCACACAUUUACUAUUUACUGCUUAUGAGCAUUGAGUGUGGUCAAGCUGUGUAGACCCUUAGGAGCUUGUCAUGUGGUUAAAUCAAGAUUUCACUUGCACGUUUACUCAUAUAUGCUACUUCUACUCCGGAAGUACCAUCCACAUAUAUCCACCCAUUCCAUCUCCAAAAUCACCCAAAAAUAUUCUACUCCUAACCCGGGAGAGAAUAACCAAAAAUAUUUCUGUUUUCCCUUGUGAAAUAAAUGCUCAAGUUAUCUUGUUACUACCACUUGCUAUAUUAUCUCAAGAGAUGAGUGCUCUAAAAAAAGGAGAAAUACAAGGAAAUAAAAAGGAGCAAGUGCUCGGAACCUCGAAAGAAAAGAAAAAAAAGUGAGACGAGAGGUAAAAAUGGACAAGUGUCCGACAGUAGAAUUAGGGGUACAAGAUACCCACCUGAGAGAAAAGAAAAAAAAGAAGAGCAUCUCAUUCUCCUCAUAAAGUUUCAAAAAGCAAGGAAGAUAUGUAUCCCCUCAAAGAGCAAAGUAGAAUUAGACUUCCACCACCAUUGUUUUCACCAUUGUUAUCACCAUCAUCACCAUACAUCAUUCAUUCGCCACACAUGCACAUCUUGAUUAAACUCAUUGGCUUGUUUCUUUGGAUCCAUGGUUUGACUAUGCAAUACAUGUCUUGUAAGUAUGUAUACUUUAUUUCCCACCUAUGAGCUCCAGAUAUUAAAGCCUUAUUAGAGUAGGGUGAGAGAGAAGGCAAUGUCACUAUGCCUUAUACCACAAAUACUACAUAUCUUGAGUGAAGGCAUAUACCAUCACUGCCUUGGUAAGGAUCCAGAAAUACCACAAAAGAGAGACCUGAGAGAAUCAUACAAGGAAUUCUGAGUUUUAUUUGAAAAUCUGCAAAAAACCCCAGAGCUAUAGCUGAUCAAGAAUAAGAGACAUGGCACUUGGCUAGACUGUUCUAUCUUUUAACUGUUCAAGAUGGAAGUGACGGUUAUAAGUCCCAUGGUGAAGGUAAAGUAAGUAAGUUUUAAGUCUUGACAGUUUACUC